rnacentral:lncRNA from 1 species
UUACAAUCAGCCUUAUUACUCGGCGAGAAGUUGUUCUCUGGACGGGUACAGGAAAAAAAGUUACUACUACUAUAUCACCGUUGAGCGCUGGAAGAUUCGCGCCAAGGGAUGCAGGUGAAGCCGACCACGACACCUCCUCCACGUGGCCAAGUAUGCAACGUGGGUCCCACCUCCUUAAGGACUCGGCCACUCGUCGUCCUCCCUAAUCUUCUCCCCCUCCCUCCUGUCUCUCUCAGAUCUCUUCCCCCCAUCGUGUCCAACCUACCUCCUCCCCGUCCUGAUCCUUCCUCCGCUCGCCCAUCGGCGCCAGGUGAGCCAGAAAUCCGCGAUCCCUCCCUAGGUUAUCUUGCUCCGUCCGCCCGAAUCGCCUGCCCUCGCCGGCUGAUCCGCGCGGGCCCUCUGGUCUCCGUAGCUGCGGUGGUUCCGUCGCUUCGAUCGGAUCCUGUGUUGCGGGUGUGAUUCCGAUCUGAUCUGCGUGGUUUUGCAGGUGUGGGCGCUCUCAGGGGGGGUGGAGCUUGACCUGCCGCGAUGGAUCGCGCCGAGCUCACCACGGAGCAGGUCAGUUCACGCAUUCGGAUACGACUGCCGUCCUGAUUUAGUUUUUGCCGGCCACGAGUGUGCAAUGAAACUUUUGCUGCUAGCGUCGGGGUAAUUGGGAUUUCAAGAUGUGCUGCCGGCGCACAUUACCUGGGCGCGACGUCCCAUGGAAAUAGGACAGUGCGAACGGCUGCCGAAUUCGAGCGAAAAUUGAUGCUUUUGUAAUGUUGUUUGGAAGUGAGCACAUGUUUCAUGGACCUUCUUGACUUUUGGAAUUGAGGGGAGAAAGCGGUUUGAGAAUUUUAAUAGAAGUAGGUCAUGCUGUCUGCUACUCCGAAGUAGCUAAAGGUAGAUUCUGUCGUAUUGGUAUUUCGAAGUAGUUUAGAUUUUCCAUAUCCAUGCAAUCUUUUGUGUUGCAACUUUGGUUGGCGUUUUCUUUGGUCAUGUCAUUGUGCUACUCUAGGAUGCAGUGAAUUGACCUGGUACUGUUCAGACUGCAGCUGUCACGGUUGGUUUCUUGUUAGUGAAUAGAUGCCCUGUUUCUGUGUGAUAAUUUAAGGUAGGGUCUAAUCAUUUAUUAUUCAGUCAAAAGGAUGGACAACUGAUUGUAUGACGGACAAUUUCUGAGCAGGCCCGUAAUACUUGCCGUCUGCUCUUUUAACUAGGAUUGUUUUACCACGAAUUAUCUGCAAGCGAUGCUGAUCUUUGAGUUGCAUCACAUCUGUUAAGAGUAUGUGAGGAUGGUNNNNNNNNNNNNNNNNNNNNNNNNNNNNNNNNNNNNNNNNNNNNNNNNNNNNNNNNNNNNNNNNNNNNNNNNNNNNNNNNNNNNNNNNNNNNNNNNNNNNCUCCCGCAUGGCUCUUCUAGCCUUCUUCCAAAGCUUCGGGGGUCUCUUUUGGUCCAAAAAAAUCAUCGCGAAUGUUUUAUUCCAUUUGGACUCCGUCUGAAAAAGGGUCAAAAACACGAAAAAAAACAGAAACUCGCACUAGGCACUGAGUUAAUAGGUUAGUCCCAAAAAAGAUAUAAAAUAGCGUAUUCAUGCAUAUAAAACAUCCAAAGUUGACAAGAUAAUAGCAUGGAACCAUCAAAAAUUAUAGAUACGUUGGAGACGUAUCAAGCAUCCCCAAGCUUAACUCCUGCUCGUCCUCGAGUAGGGAAGUGAUAAAGACCUAAUUUUUGAUGUGGAAUUCUACCUAACAUAUUUGUCCUUUGUAACUUCUUUCUUGUGGCAUGAAUGUUCAGAUCUGUAAGAUUCAAAACAAUAGUUUACUAUUGACAUGAAAACAAUAAUACUUCAAGCAUACUAGUAAGGUAAUCAUGAACUUUUGAAAUAACAAGGCCAAAGAAAGUUAUCCCUACAAAAUCAUAUAGUAUGGCUAUGCUCCAUCAUCCCCACACAACGAAUUGAAAUCAUGCACAACCCCGAUAUUGGCCAAGUAAUUGUUUUUGCACUCUUACUUUCUCAAACUUUUUCAACUCUCACGCAAUACAUGAGCGUGAGCCAUGGAUAUAGCACUAUAGGUGGAAUAGAGUGUGGUGGAGGUUGUGAGGCAAAAAGGAGAAGAUGGUCACAUCGACUCGGCAUAUCAAUGGGCUAUGGAGAUGCCCAUCAAUAGAUAUUAAUGUGAAUGAGUAGGGAUUGCCAUGCAACAGAUGCACUAGAGCUAUAAGUGUGUGAAAGCUCAAAAAUAAAAGUAGUGGGUGUGCACCCAACUUGCUUGCUCACGAAGACCUAGGGCAAUUUUGAGGAAGCCCAUGAUUGGAAUAUACAAGCCAAGUUAUAUAAUGAAAAUUCCCACUAGUAUAUGGAGGUGACAAAACAGAGACUCUCUAACAUGAAGAACAUGGUGCUAUUUUGAAGCACAAGUUUGGAAAAAAGAUAGUAGCAUUGUCCCUUCUCUCUUUUUCUCUCAUUUUUUUGUUUGGGCUCUUUGGCCUCUUUUUUCAUUUUUUUUGGUGGGCAUCUUUGGCCUCUUUUAUUUUCCUCACAUGGGAUAAUGCUCUAAUAAUGAUGAUCAUCAAACUUUCAUUUACUUACAACUCAAUACUUAGAACAAUGAGGACUCUACAUGAAAUGCCUCCGGCAGUGUACCGGGAUGUGCAAUGGUCUAGCUUAGCGUAUGAUGUUGAAACAUCUUGCUAGCUAUAUUACGAUCAUGCAAGGGCAAUAUGAAAGUGACGGCACAUGUCAUGAGACGGAACGGUGGGAGUUGCAUGGCAAUAUAUCUCAGAAUGGCUAUGAAAAUGCCAUAAUAGGUAGGUAUGGUGGCUGUUUUGAGGAAGGUAUAUGGUGGGUUUGUGCAUUGGCGAAAGUUGCGCGGUACUAGAGAGGCUAGCAANNNNNNNNNNNNNNNNNNNNNNNNNNNNNNNNNNNNNNNNNNNNNNNNNNNNNNNNNNNNNNNNNNNNNNNNNNNNNNNNNNNNNNNNNNNNNNNNNNNNGUUUGAUUGAACAUGAUAAAUCUAAAAUUAUGUGAUGCAUAUCGUAUAAUCAUGCCCAUGGGUACUUGUGCUGACAUUGGAGUAUCUAGGUGACAUUAGAGUUUUGGCUUAUGUGUAUCUUAAGGUGUUGUUUUAGUGCGAACUCUAGGGUUGUUCGUGACACUUAUAGGGAUAGCUCAUAAGAUUGAUCAGAAAAGAUAACUUUGAGGUGGUUUCGUGCCCUACAAUAAUUUCUUCGUUUGUUCUCCACUAUUUGUGACUUUGGAGUGAACUCUUUGUCGCACGUGAGGGAUUUAUAUAUGAUUCAACUAUGUUAGUAUUGUUGAGAGAACUUGCACUAGUGAAAGCACGGACCCUAGGCCUUGUUUCCAAGCAUUUAUACAACAUUUUUCUUGUUGUUUUUAUAUUUUCAGAUUAUAAAAACCUAUAUCUACCAUCCAUAUUACACUUGUAUCACCAUCUCUUCGCCGAACUAGUGCACAUAUACAAUUUACCAUUGUAUUGGGUGUGUUGGGACACAAGAGACUCUUUGUUAUUUGAUUGCAGGGUUGCUUGAGAGAGACCAUCUUCAUCCUAUGCCUUCCACGGAUUGAUAAACCUUAGGUCAUCCACUUGAGGGAAAUUUUCUACUGUCCUAGAAAACUCUGCGCUUGGAGGCCCAACACGAGUAUACGAGAAGAAGGUUGUGUAGUAGAAAUCAAGCUCUUUUCUGGCGCCGUCGCUGGGCAUGUUAGGUAAGCGACACUCACUUCCCGUCAACGAAACUCUUUUCUGGUGCCGUUGCCGGGGAGGUUAGUGCUUGAAGGUGUAUCUUUAGAUGUUGCAAUUAAAUCUUCUAGUUUCUUGUUUUUUCACUAGUUUGGUUUAUCAAAGAAAACUACAAAAAAAUGGAAUUGAGGACGCCUCAUAUGCUUCAUCUUUUCAACGUCUUUCGUGAAAAUAAUGGAAAGGAAAAUCGUGCUCAAGUGUUAGAAGAAGAAGUUAUUAAAAAGUUUGGCACUAAAUCUUUGUAUUAUGAGCAUGAUUGCAAUGUUGUUAGUAUGAAUUCCUUGAAUAUUCAUGAUGCUAAUGAUAUGCAAAGCUACAAGCUUGGGGAUGUUAUGUUUGAUGAAGAUGAUAUUUUUUGUCCCCCAAGUUUUGAUGAGCAAAACUAUUAUUAUAAUAGGAUGCCUCCUAUUUAUGAUGAUUAUUGUGAUGACAUGUAUGCCAUAAAGAAUAAUGAUAACCAUGAAACUUGUCAUCAUGAUUUUAAUUUUCAAUUGGAUUAUGCUUCACAUGAUAGUUAUUUUGUUGAGUUUGCUCCCACUACUAUUGAUGAGAAUAAAUUUGCUUAUGUGGUGAGUAGUAAAAUUUCUAUGCUUGUAGGUCAUGAAAAUAAUGCUUCAUGUUCUGGUUAUAUUGUCAAAUUCCUUCAUGAUGCUACUAAAAAUUAUUAUGAGGGAGGAACAUAUGCUUGUUGGAAUUGCAAUAAUAUCAAGUUUCCUCUCUAUGCGNNNNNNNNNNNNNNNNNNNNNNNNNNNNNNNNNNNNNNNNNNNNNNNNNNNNNNNNNNNNNNNNNNNNNNNNNNNNNNNNNNNNNNNNNNNNNNNNNNNNACCGACAACAUCCAUUAUCAGGUAGCAACCCCUGCUAUAUGAGGCAUGAAUACCUAUACCAGACUAAAAACAUAACCGGGCCAGAACGUCAGUAGAACAACUAGGGUUAAUUAACUCGGUCUUUGAGAUCAACCAUUGCACAUGUAUGGAGCCUAAUAUUUCAGAUCAACCAGUUCCAGUGCACAAUCUGCAUAAUAUGAUUGUUGAACUCCACCACACUGGUCAAUUACUUUUUGCCAAUUGAUGGCCACUUGCAUUUCCUUGAAGUUAUCCAACUUUUUUUAUUGCAAUAUAUAUGCUUUUAAACAUGGCUAAACCAAGGGGAGAAAUUCACACUUUUAUUCUGUCUAGUAAAGUAGUCAUGUUAUUGUUGCCCCAAUAAAACCCGACUAUUUUCAAGAUGCCAAGUUUUAUUUAAAAAAACGUGAUUUUAGAAGAUAGUACAAAAAGUUUUAUUGAAAAAAGUUAGUUGUGAUAUCCAGCCGAUUUCUCGCAUGCUAACCGAGCUGUUCAUGUUCCCAGGGUCAGGUAGAGCUGAUACCUCUAGGGUCUUGUAAGUACAACCUCAAGAUCUUCUGGACCAAAAGGGCAGGCCUCUUCACCAAGGUGCUGGAGGCACUCUGCAACUACAAUGUGCAAGUGCUUAGCCUCAACACCAUCACCUACUAUGGCUAUGCAGAGAGUUUCUUCUGCAUUGAGGUGAAUCCUCCGUCACAAAUUUUGGCUGCAGCAGAAUUUGGUAGAUUCUACGCAACUUCUAGCCUCAUUAGUCUUCUGAUGCGUUGACCGGCUUCUUCUCCAUGUCUCCAUUUGCAGGUUAAGGGUGAGCAGGAUGUUGUGAUGGUGGAGCUAAGGGACCUGCUGUCCAGUAUUGUAGAGGUUCCAAGCAUUUGACCAUCUGAGGCCCUUGCAAACAAUAACUCACGGAAUUCAUAUGAAAGAAGCCAUAUAUGAUUCUGUGGAAAUGCAUCCUCUUUAGAAAGAAAGAACUCUAGCGUUGCACGGUCUGUGUAGGGAGAGCAUACAGAGAUACAAUGUUGAACUGACAAAACUGACGGGAAGAAGUCUGAAUUUUGUGUUGAAGUUGGAAUCAUUUCAUAAUUCACCUUUGUAUUUUCUACUGUACUAAUGGUGUCGGUGGGUAAUAAAUCAUGCAUACAGCAGUCCAACUCAAACUUAGAAAAUGGGAUUGCCUGAAGCCAUUUAGUUACCAGUGACAGUGUGCCUCCCGAAAUUGCAAUGCGUGCAAGGACUAGAUGCAAAACAUCUUUCAACCGGAUGUAUCUAUUGUUUACUAUCCGAAUGUUUUUUUAAGAGACACCCAGGGUUUCUGAUAUUUAGUAUUUAGUACUCUGGAAUAACAAUAGUAGUCACUAAAAUGGAAAAACAACUGGAUGCUAACCAAAUAAUAAUAAUCAGUGUAUGUAUAUAUAAAAUGUUACCAAAAACACUUAAAAUGUUCCCAAACGGUUUCAUAUAAGAUAACUUAUGAAUACUACNNNNNNNNNNNNNNNNNNNNNNNNNNNNNNNNNNNNNNNNNNNNNNNNNNNNNNNNNNNNNNNNNNNNNNNNNNNNNNNNNNNNNNNNNNNNNNNNNNNNUGUGCGAGAAAUCAAGUUGUCAAAAUUAUUUAAAAAUGCAAGUUGUCUAGCCACGAGUCAAAUGCUGGCUUUCCGCAUGAAACCCCACAAUACCCUUUUGAUACCUUGCAUGAGUAGUUAGUUUUCCUAAAGUCUUGCUGAGUACCUUCGUACUCAUGUUUGCGUAAUAAAUGUUGCAGAGGUUGCUAAUGAACCUAAUGGAGGGUUCUUCGUAGACAUCGACGACGACGAGUAGCUGGUGUCCCAGCUACGAUCUGGCCCUAUGUUGGGUCUGUAGUAUAGUCAGGCCAUGUGCCUUCUAGUUGCCUUGUCUGUACUGAGACAGUUUAAACUCUUCCGCUGGCUUGUAACUGAAUGACUGCUAUUAUGGGUCGUGAGACCCUUAAUGUGUAAUAUUAUGUGUGUGGCUCUUCCGAGCCUCUUAAAUAAAGGUUGUAUGUUUAUGGUUAUGUUGUGAUGCCAUCGAUGUAUCUAUACAUAUCGGUAUUCCAUGCGUACGUGUGUCGUACUUGAUAUGUAUGGGGUUCGAUUACUUAGUCGUGAACUUGAGUAGCACUCCUUACAAGGAAAUGCCCCUUUGUGAUCCAAUGAGCCUUGGUAGAUCGCUACUGCUCCGGACACAUUGGUUGACCGGCAUGUGUCCUUCUUAGCUGCUGUGUCUGUCCCCUUUGGGGAAAUGUCACACGAUGUAAUGGAGUCCUUGUAGCUUGCUACGACUCGUCUACAUUCGCUGAUGACCGACACCUGCUUUGUUGGGUCAUGUAUGCCUGUCCUUGUGCGGUACUGCCACUUUGGUUUAUGACUAGACAUGUCGAUCCGGGUUCUUUGACAUUGGAAUGCUAGCGACACUAUUGCAUACGUGAGUCAAAAGACGCAAACGGUCCCGGCUAAGGUAAGGCUGCAGCCGUGGAGUUAACCGUGCGUGAGACCGCAAAGAGAUGCGAUGUGUUACAGGAUGGAUUCCUAUGGCUUAGGAUCGGGGUCCCGACAGCGUUGGUAUCAGAGCCUGACUGACUAUAGGAUUACUAAGCCAAACUGGUCGAAGUUGAGUCUAGAAUUGCUUUAGUUAUAUAUAAGGGAAUUGUUUGUGGGAGGGAACGUAAGACUCUUGUUCUCUUCUCAAGUUAUUCUAUUCUGGUCAUCCUCGUCUUUUCUGCGAGAAUUAAGGACUAGGUUACUCAUCUUCUUCUAGGCUCGUGUUUCUGAUCGGUAGAUUAUAGGACUACGGGUCAAGAGAUAUUGGGUUUCUGUCAUUCCUAGGAAAAAGGAAGUAAGUUUGAUGAUCAGAGAGUUGAACUUGGUAGUUGAGUGGUUACGCCAUUCCAUUUUGGGUUGUCUCAAAAUUUGUUUUUGAGCAUUUACAGCCGUUAUGCUGCCGAAUUUUGCAUUUGGAGCUCUAAUGCUUUUGCAUUACUCUCUAUUUACAGAUGCCUGGCCGUCCUUCUCGUCAGGUGGUACGUCUGACCAGGUGCAUUGAUGUGCCGGGUCAUACGGCCAUGCUGGUCAGNNNNNNNNNNNNNNNNNNNNNNNNNNNNNNNNNNNNNNNNNNNNNNNNNNNNNNNNNNNNNNNNNNNNNNNNNNNNNNNNNNNNNNNNNNNNNNNNNNNNGCGUAGUAGACAUCACAUAGCAUCUAGAUACCGACGAAGUCUAUCUCGUGGCCUCCAAUAAAUGAUGAGGCAAGAACUCUCUGUUUUCCGACUGCAUCUCCAUUUUGUUCUCCACUUGUAUGCAGUCUAGAAGGCCUUGGUAUAGAUCAUCUCUUAUUUUGUUUUGAUUAUGCCACAUGUAAUCAAGUCUGGAGCUUUCAAUUUUGAUGUAUGUGUCUACAACAAACUACUGAAAAAGCCGUCCGCCGUGUAAAAUUGGGUUGAAUAUGCUUGGUCAUGUAUGAAAUUUAUAGCAGUAGUAUUCUCUCAUGGUUACCCAUAGGCCAUUGGCUAAAUCUAUGCAAACAUUGCAACAUAAAAAGUUAGUUUCCUAAGGUGUAGUAUAUAUAAAAUGAAUUUUUAAUAUAUAAUAGUAUAUUCUCUUUGUUACCCGAGUCAUCGUCAUUAGUGAUAUUUUCAGCACCAAUACCUUCCUCUCGUGUUUCCCUCUUUGGGAUUUUUCUAUGCCAUCCCAGUUCAGCUCUUGGAAAGAAUAGAGGAUACAAUAAUGGGUCAUAGCACCCAUAAUAUGAUCGAAUGAGCUCUUUUUCGUUGUUGUUCCCAUGUAAUAUUAUAUUUCUGUCAUAAGUAUCUCUUCUUUCAUUUCCUUCAAUCCAUACUGCAGCUACCUCCGAAUUGAUUGGCUCAUUGUAUCUUCUUUGGUCCAUUCUCUGGUCAAGUUUCAAGAUGAGUCUGUAGUCCUCAAGGUUUGCAACUUGUCCCAAACUCCUAAACUGUUGAGAGUAUGGGUUACCGCGUAGGAUAUCUGUUAUUAUUCCAAUCACAUGCUUGUCUUGUUCGUAUAUUUAGUCACGACAAUAGCGGUAUCGAUGUUCUAAGCUUGGAUCAUCGUCGUAGAAGUACAGUUGGAGAUGCUUUGGUUCUGAGUCACUGUCACCAAAUGAGUGUAUGUUGUGAUAUAUUUGACCAUGUGCUCGAAAGGUGUAAAUACCGGCAGUUCACAUGCCAGUCGUGUCUUUGUCAAGCUGACAGUAAAAAGUAGUAAAUGAGAAGUGCCCAUUGAAAAAUAUUAUAUUUUGCCGAAAAUGUCUUGCAUCAGAGUCAUUGCUUGUCCAAAGUCUCAUGAGUUCAGGUGGAGUAACUGUAUUGACUAGUCUUAUCUGUCCUUUUUUGCAACAUAAUCCCUUAGUUUCAUACUUGAAUUUGGUUGCAUGGCAGAAUCUGCAAUCUUCUUCUUUUUCGAGCAUGUUUGAGCUUGUUGGUAUGUUGCUGUAGACGAAAUCAUAUGGAUCUAGGUUGAGAGCUUCCUCAUCAUCUAUGAUUUCAGAUUCCAAUUGUCUGCCCCACUCUGUUUUACUAUGGAACAUGUUGAAUUUAGUAUGUAGUAUUAUAAUUGUGCAAAAUUAUUUCAAUUGUAUUAAGCAUACCUUCACCCAUGAGCAAGUAUUCAUCUUCAUCCGUGUCUUCUUCAAAUAUGACUCCAUCAUUACCUGUGUUGUAAUUUUUGAGUGUAUAUAUUUGUUUGUAUUGCCUAAGAACAUAUAUGUAAUUGAGAACCUUACCGACAUCAUCGUUGUAGAUUGNNNNNNNNNNNNNNNNNNNNNNNNNNNNNNNNNNNNNNNNNNNNNNNNNNNNNNNNNNNNNNNNNNNNNNNNNNNNNNNNNNNNNNNNNNNNNNNNNNNNGUACUAGAGAGGCUAGCAAUGGUGGAAGGUGAAAGUGCAUCUAUACCAUGGACUCACAUUAGUCAUGAAGAACUCAUAUACUUAUUGCAAAAGUUUUAUUAGUAAUCGAAACAAAGUGCUAAACGCAUACUACUGGGGGAAGGGUUGGUAGGUGUUAACCAUCGGCGAUCCCGACCGCCACACAAAGGAUGACAAUCAAUAAAUCAAUUAUGCUCCAACUUCCUAACAUAGCAGUUCACCAUACGUGCAUGUUAUGGGAAUCACUAACUUCAACACAAGUAUUUCUAGAUUCACAACACCCUACUAACAUAACUCUAAUAUUACCAUAUCCAUAUCUCAAAACUAAUUGUGAGCAAUAAAACUUCUCUUACUAAUCGAUGCACUUGAAUAUGGAGGUUUUUAUUAAUCCUCUUUGGAUGCCUAUCAUAUUUAGGACUAAUUUCAUAGCACACGCCAACUACCAAGUUACUCAGAGAGAGCACUCUCAAAAAGAUAUAAGUGAAGAUCGAGAGUUCAUAUUUCUCCAAAAUAUGACACCGCCGUGCUCUAAAAAGAUCUAAGUGAAGCACUAGAGCAAAGUUAUCUAGCUCAAAAGAUAUAAGUGAAGCACAUGCGAGCUAAAUUGCCUAACUCAAAAGAUAUAAGUGAAGCUCAAUGAGUAUUCUAGCAAAUUCACUAUGAGUGCAUGUAUCUCUCAAAAAGGUGUGAAGAAAGGAUGAUUGUGACACAACAAAAAGAAAAGACUCCUAUAACACACGAUGCUCCAAGCAAAACACAUAUCAUGUGGUGAAUACAAAUAUAGCCCCAAGUAAAGUUACCGAUGGAUUGAAGACGAAAGAGGGGAUGCCUUCCCGGGGCAUCCCCAAGAUUAGGCUCUUUGGUGUCCUUGAAUAUGGCUUUGGGGUGCCUUGGGCAUACCCAAGCUUAGGAUCUUGCCACUCCUUGUUCCAUUUUCCAUCGAAACUCUACCCAAAACAUGAAAGCUUCACAACACAAAACUUAACGGAACUUCGUGAGAUGGGUUAGUAUGAUAAUGAGAAAAUCAAUCACUUGGGUACUGUCAAAACAAGACUCAUAAUUAUUUUCACACAAUUCCUACUGUAUCUUACUAUUUCCACAAGAUAUAUUACUCAAUAUAAUCUAUGGAAACACCAAAACAAGCAAACUAUGCAUUGAAAACAGAAUCUGUCAAAAACAGAACAGUCUAUAAUGAUCUGAAUGCUAACCAUACUUAUGAACUUCCAAAAAUUCGGAAACAAUUAUGAUAAGUAAGGCAAUUUGUAUAUAAAUCAUCAGAAAAAAGAAUCAACCUAAAAUCACUCUCUGGAUAGGAAUUAGAAAUGAUUUCGUGAGCGCAAAGUUUCUGUCUUUUUCAGCAUGAUCAAACAACUAUCACCCAAACUAAUCAUAAAGGCUUUACUUGGCACUUUAUUUAAACAAAGGCAAUAAAACAUGAUUAAUACAGUAUCUUAAUCAUGUGGACACACAAAAACAGUAAGGAUACAUAUUGGGUUGUCUCCCAACAAGCACUUUUCUUUAAUGCCUUUCAAGCUAGGCAUGAUGAUUUCAAUGAUGCUCACAUACAAGAUAAGAAUUGAAACAUAACGGGAGCAUCAUGGAGCAUACGACUAGCACNNNNNNNNNNNNNNNNNNNNNNNNNNNNNNNNNNNNNNNNNNNNNNNNNNNNNNNNNNNNNNNNNNNNNNNNNNNNNNNNNNNNNNNNNNNNNNNNNNNNAUCAUGAAAUAUCCAAGAAAGUAUAUUGCAGCCUUCAAAUGUUGAUAAUGACAAAGAGAACUAAAGGUCCCUUUGGUUCACAGAAUACCCUUAUCAGCCAAUCCUAUAGGACUCUCUUUGGUGAGUGGAAUGCAACCAUCUAAUUAUACAGGGUUUUUUCUCAUUAGUAGAACGGGUUUGACCAUCCUAAGACCAACUCGUUCCAAAAUUGAAUGACAUUAGUAGGACGUGGAAUGAUUCCCUCCAAAAAAUCGGAUUAUAUAACACCAGUCCACUCACAGACAAACCAUGAGAAGCAAAAGGUGUCCUGUCCUCAUGGGUUGGCCAUCCACCAAAUGGCUACUGAACAGCAACUAGUGCACAAUCAAUCUAUUGCAGCCUAUGUUUGUCUAUUUGCACAGUGAAUGAAAUGUGCAGAUUUUAAGAUGACAAAAAGGCACAGACUAAAAAGGAAUCAAAUCAAUAAUACUUACCUUAGGAAAGGAUCGUAAAUGUCUUCACCAGAGAGAGAUUUGUCGUAAAACAGUGCUGCUCGUUUAGGAUUCGCUGAAAACAAAGGCAAUGGUUUAACACUAUGUCUAUAAUAGUAACACAAAAAGGUUUAUUUUAGUGGAUGAAUCGUUCAGCACCUGCAAGCAUCUCAUCAAUGAGGGCAAGCACAUAUUCCACGGUCUCUUCCUUAGAGAUGCUUCGCAAGAUAUUCAAAAAAACAUGAACAUACGAUGGUCCAUCCUAUAAAGAAUAGAAAUUUCCCAAGAACGUUUCCAUUAGAAACUUAAUAUAAGAACAUCAAAUUAUAUGAAUUUAGUCAAUAAAAGUGAAAAGUUGGCAAGGAUGAGUACCAAAUAGGAUGUGAUUUUAAAAAGGGGACAAAUAGGAUGUAUUUGUAGACAAUUAUGACUCAGGAUUCUCUUCAUGAAAAAAAAAAUACAAGUCUGUUUAAAAGUGAACCUGCCCCACUUAGCAGACUAAACCCUAUAAUUUCAGACAUAUAAGCUAAGGCUAAAGGUCUUACAUUUCUUUACAGAGGGAGUGGUUAAGAAAGAAAAGGAGAGCAAUGGUGAUCUCCAACCAGCUAUGGCAUUACAAAUCAGGUAGAACUACAACAUUAUAAGGGCCUCUUUGAUUCAAAGGAAAUCCAAAGGAUUUUUUGAUGAUUCUUAUCCUGAGGAAUUUUUCCUAUAUAGGUUGUCUGAUUCAAAGAAUUUUAAACCAUAGGAAUUUUUCCAUAAUGAUUCAUUCAUACUAGGUUUUAUAAGAAAAUUUCCAUCCAUUCCACCCUCUAGGAAAGAAUCCAAUUGUUUUUCCUAUACACAACCAAACAACUAUCAAAUCAUGUAGUAUUCAAGAUGGCGUGGCAUCCCAAUCGCACAUUUUUCCUAUUCUGGCAUUUUAGAAAUCUUGCAGUUCAAAUAGGCCCUAAUAUGGCAAACAAAAUGCAGUCAUGCAAUGGUGUUCUCCUAGGCUAUUUACCAACAGGAAAAAAUAAUUCAAGAUGAUAAUGCCACCAACCUCAUCAAGCAACGGACCUCUCUGACUUUCUGGUUUGUGGUCAUAACGCCUUAAAAGCUGAAGGCAUGUCGAAGUGAUCAGUUUAGUUGACAUAUAUGUCUCCCAUGGAAUGUCCCGCUUGAGAACCUUGAAAUACAAAACAAGAAUUAGAUAAAUAGUACAGCUUAAAAAUCUCCCCUUGAUGUUGUCAAGUUCAGACAGAAGCAAAUCAUGCAGGCUGCUAUUUGGGAACUGCCCUUCUAUUUCUGGGUACCUACANNNNNNNNNNNNNNNNNNNNNNNNNNNNNNNNNNNNNNNNNNNNNNNNNNNNNNNNNNNNNNNNNNNNNNNNNNNNNNNNNNNNNNNNNNNNNNNNNNNNCUUAUAAGCAGUCCUAUAAGCCCAUAGUGCAUCAUCAAGUUUGCUAGACCAAUUCUUUCGAGAUCUAUUGAUGGUCUUUUGUAAGAUCAAUUUGAUCUCCCUAUUACUCAACUCCACUUGACCACUAGACUGAGGAUGAUAAGGAGAUGCAACUCUAUGGUUGACAUCAUACUUAGCGAGCAUCUUGCGGAAAACACCAUGAAUGAAGUGUGAACCGCCAUCAGUCAUCAGAUAUCUAGGGACCCCAAAUCUUGGGAAAAUGACUUCUUUAAGCAUCUUAAUAGAGGUGUGGUGAUUAGCAUUUUUAGUGGGGAUAGCCUCUACCCACUUAGUGACAUAAUCCACAGCAACUAAGAUGUGAGUAUACCCAUUGGAACUCGGGAAAGGUCCAAUAUAAUCAAAGCCCCAGACAUCAAAUGGUUCAAUGACAAGUGAAUAGUUCAUAGGCAUUUCCUGACGCUUACUGAUAUUCCCUAUUCUUUGGCAUUCGUCACAAGACAAGACAAACUUACGGGCAUCCUUGAAGAGAGUGGGCCAAUAGAAACCUGAUUGCAAUACCUUAUGAGCAGUUUUGUCUCCAGCAUGGUGUCCUCCGUAGGCUUCAGAAUGACACUUCUGCAGGAUCUGUCCUUGUUCAUGUUCAGGAACACAACAUCUAAUAACACCAUCUACUCCUUCCUUAUAAAGGUGAGGAUCAUCCCAGAAGUAGUGUCUCAAAUCAAAGAAGACAUUCUUCUUUUGCUGGUAGGUGAAACUGGGUGGUAUGUAUUUGGCUACGAUAUAGUUUGCGUAAUCAGCAUACCACGGUGCACUACGUGAAGUGCGGAUGACCUUCAAUUGCUCAUCAGGAAAGCUGUCAUCAAUAGGUCGUGGGUCAUCAAGGACAUUCUCUAGCCUAGACAAGUUAUCUGCCACAGGGUUAUCAGCACCCUUUCGAUCAACAACGUGCAAAUCAAAUUCUGAUAGCAGGAGAGCCCAUGUGAUUAGCCUAGGCUUAGCGUCCUUCUUCUCCAUAAGGUACUUAAUAGCAGCAUGAUGAGAGUGAAUAGUGACUUUGGAUUCAACUAUAUAAGAUCUGAACUUUUCACAUGCAAACACGACUGCUAAAAACUCCUUCUCCGUAGUGGCAUAGUUUCUUUGGGCACUGUCUAGAGUUUUACUAGCGUAGUGAAUGACAUUCAACUUCUUGUCAACUCUUUGUCCUAGAACAGCACCAACAACAUAAUCACUAGCAUCACACAUGAUUUCAAAGGGCAAGUUCCAAUCAGGUGGUUGAACAAUAGGUGCGGUUAUUAAGGCCUUCUUAAGUAUUUCGAAAGCUUCCUCACAAUCCUCAUCAAAAACAAAAGGAACAUCCUUCUGCACGAGGUUGGUAAGAGGCCUAGAAAUCAUAGAGAAGUCUUUAAUGAACCUUCUAUAGAAACCAACAUGACCUAGGAAACUUCGUAUACCUCUGAUAUCUGUGGGCCAAGGCAUUUUCUCAAUUGCAUCUACCUUAGCCUUAUCAACUUCAAUGCCUUUCUCAGAGAUUUUGUGUCCUAAGAUGAUGCCUUCAAUAACCAUGAAGUGGCACUUCUCCCAGUUCAAGACGAGGUUGGUAUCUUUGCAUCUCUAUAAGACUCGAUCAAGAUUGCUGAGGCAAUCAUCAAAGGAAGAACCGUAAAUGGAGAAAUCAUCCAUUAAAACCUCAAUAAUCUUUUCACAAAAGUUAGAGAAUAUAGCCAUCAUACAUCUUUGAAAGGUGGCAGGUGCAUCGCACAAGACAAAAGGCAUACGUCUAUAAGCAAAGGUACCGAAGGGGCAUGUGAAAGUGGUUUUCUCCUGAUCAGAUUGUGCAACAGGUAUUUGCGAGAAACCUGAAUAACCGUCUAGAAAGUAGAAGUGUGUGUGUUUAGAUAGCCUUUCUAGCAUCUGGUCGAUAAACGACAAAGGAUAAUGGUCUUUCCUAGUUUCCUUGUUCAGUUUCCAGAAGUCUAUCACCAUCCUAUAGCCAGUAAUAAUCCUUUGUGGGAUUAGUUCAUUCUUAUCAUUAGGAACGACGGUGAUACCUCCCUUCUUAGGUACACAAUGUACUGGACUUACCCAAUCNNNNNNNNNNNNNNNNNNNNNNNNNNNNNNNNNNNNNNNNNNNNNNNNNNNNNNNNNNNNNNNNNNNNNNNNNNNNNNNNNNNNNNNNNNNNNNNNNNNNUGUGGAUUGGUUUGAACAUGUCUUGUGUUUCUACAGAUACAGAGAAAGUGAUGAUACCAUCUUGUGAAUUUUGUAUUCAAAUGGAAAUUCUAUAUAAUGCACAUCCCUUAGGGGAGCUAUCCUAUUUUCUUUGGAACACGCUCUUUAUACGUCUAUCAUAAAAUCUUUUGAUCCCCAUCAAAUGUGUGUUGAUGGGAGGCAAGUCUUGCUCUUUAUGAUGCUUUGUGCCAUCAUUAAAAUUUGUAGAGGGUUUGUUUUUUUGGAACCUAGCUCUCUUUUGGAAACUAGAUACCUCGUUUUUGUUUUCCUUCAAUUGGUAUCUUGUUUCCUUUUGUCUGGCAUGUGUCAAUGGAUUUCAUUCCUUGAUGUAUCUUUUAAUUGGUAUCCUUCAAGCGAUAAUUUUUCGUUUGAUAUUUUAUUUCACUUGAUACAUUGUCUUUUGGUGUCUUAUCAACUAUGCAUUGAUUUGGUUUUUUGAAUGCCUUGAGCAUGCAUAUUUACUAUAUAUAUAUAGUUUCUUUUUGCAUGUUUUCUUUCCUUGACCCGAUAUAUAGGGGAAACUUCACUUUGUCAUAAAUUGGCUAAAGUGUGCAUGAAAUUCAAUUUCAUAUUAAUAUGCACAUAUUUAUGUGGAGUUUGUCCUAUGUAUUGUUGGUUUUCUAACUCUUUGGUACCAAUGAGUUUGGGCACCAUUUUGUUUGUGUUGUUGUUCUAGAAACAAUUGGAGAUGCAUUGGAUGCUCGGCUCACCUACAAGGAAGGUGUUGACACCAUGGCUUAUUGGAGCCAAGCUAGGAUGAUUGAUGAACCAUUAUCUACUACAUCAAUCCAAUGCUAUCUCGGUAACAAGUAUCUACUUUAUGCAUACAUUUCUUGCAUUCAACCUUUCGUAGGUUGCAUCAUAGCAUGAAUUUCUUGAUUCAUUCUUGUGGUACUUGUUUCCUUCCUCAAAGCAUCCGAAGGAUGAUGUCUUAUUGCUAGUUGGGAUGUCUUUGAUGUUCAUAAGUUUGAAGUUCAUAUUGUACAAUAAGAAAAUAUUAGGCCAUGUGCUAUGCUUUCAAGCAAAGAUCUUAUUGGUAUAUUUAUGACUUCCUUUUGGAUAUCUUGUUUGUUCCUUCUUGUAACCAUUUCGUGUGUACAUCCUUCUUUGUGGAUAUAUAUCAUCAUGAUUAUCAUCUACCUAUAAUAUUUUACACAUGAGAGGAGUUACAUCUCCUGUUGAUAUCCUUUUUUCUUUCACGUCCAUCGUUGCAUUUCCUUUUUCAGUUUUUGGUGGCUUCCUGAAAGGAUUUGUCUUGAGUGUGGAUCUCUUAUCCUUGCAUCUUGAUGCACUCUUUGGUGGUGAAGAAUAUUUUUCCUCAUGCUUGUCUUGACGAGGGUUUUGACAUUUUGGUUGGUAUCCCUUCUCUUGACAAGGUUAUUAUUUCCUUUCUUCACCAUGGGUUGUCACAAGUGUGGUUCUCAAUUUGUUUAUUAGUAAGAUUGUGAACCCAUUUGCUAGUAGUGUGUGUGUGCGGGAAGGAUAUGUCAUGCACUUUGUUUCUCAUUACUUCAAGACUAUGUUGAUGAGUAAUGCUCAUCCUUAUCUUAGUCUUCUCAAGUGCCUUGCCAUGACUGACACACAUCAAUUUGGUUGAGCAUAUUAUUAUAUUGCCUCUUUUACAUGUUGCUCAACCAUAUGGUUUGUGCAAGUGAUAUGCUUAUUGUCUCAUCUAUUUCCUUGCACUUGUUAUGUGCUUUUAUUAAUUUUGGGGGAGAAACGAUCCUAUUUUGUGCACUUGUAUAAAAUACAAAAAAUUCUUACUAGUGCACAAAUCAUGGGGAGCUUCUCUAGUUUUGAUAAAACACUCCUUUGCCCUUAUCAUAAUAUCUUUUUUUUCAUGUGGUUGUAGGACCAUAUGAUUGCUUGUUCCUAUUGGUAUAUUUUGUUUGCCUGUUUCUCUCUUUUGUAUGUCUUUGUGACAUACGAUCCUUCUUGCAAUCUUUGGGUCCUCGAUAUAGUUCGUUUUCCUCCAAUGUUUAUCAUUGUAUUUGUGUAUUUCUUUGCACUAUUGUUGAGAAGUACACACUCUUUGGAGGACCACCUACUAUAUUGGCUUUCUAAAGUUUUUGUCCAUUUUGGCAAUCGAUGCCAAUGGGGGAGAAGUUUAGAGAGUUUAGUUUGGUGAUGCUUAGAGAGUUUUGCUUUGUGUGCUUAAGCAUUUACAUCUUGUACGCAUGCAUUAUUGCUUUGUAUGUGUGCACUUGGUUAUGCUUAUUUCCUUAUAAAAACUCUUUUGUACUGAAUGUCAUCAAUUACCAAAAUGGGGGAGAUUGUUAGAGCAUAUUUCNNNNNNNNNNNNNNNNNNNNNNNNNNNNNNNNNNNNNNNNNNNNNNNNNNNNNNNNNNNNNNNNNNNNNNNNNNNNNNNNNNNNNNNNNNNNNNNNNNNNAGGAGUUGACUAGAUGAGACUUUCUCACAUGUAGUGAUACUUCAGUCCGUCAGAAUCAUGUUAGCAAUAGUUUCAUUUUCGAUUAUGAAAUUUGGCAGAUGGAUGUCAAAAUAGCGUUCCUUAACGAUUUCCUCAAGGAAGAGUUGUAUAUGAUGCAACCAGAGGGUUUUGUCGAUCCAGAGAAUGCUGACAAAGUAUGCAAGCUCCGCCAAUCCAUUAAUGGACUGGUGCAAGUAUCUCGGAGUUGGAAUCAACACUUUGAUGAGGUGAUCUAAGUGUUUGGAUUUAUAAAAGUUUAUGGAGAAGCUUGUAUUUACAAGAAAGUGAGUGGGAGAUCUAUAGUGUUUCUAAUAUGAUAUGUGAAUGACUUAUUUCUGGCUGGAAACAAUAUAGAAUUUCUAGGAAGUGUCAAAGAAUAUCUGACCAAGAGUUUUUCAGUGAAGGACCUAGGAGAAGCUGCUUUCAUAUUAGGCAUCAAGAUCUAUAGAGAUAGAUCGAGACGCUUAGUAGGAAUUUCACAGAGAACAUACCUUGACAAAGUUUUGAAGAAGUUCAAAAUAGAUCAGUCCAAGAAAGGGUUAUUGCCUGUAUUGCAAGGUGUGAAGUUGAGUAAGACUCAAUGCCUAGUGACUGCAGAAGAUAGAGAAAAGAUGAGUGUCGUCCCCUAUGCUUCUACCAUAGGCUCUAUCAUGUAUGAAAUGCUGUGCACAAGACCUAAUGUCAGCCUUGCCAUAAGUAUGGAGGGAAGGUUUCAAAGUGAUCCAAGAAUGGAACAUUGGACAAUGAUCAAGAAUAUCCUGAAGUACCUGAAAAGGACUAAGGAAAUGUUUCUCAUUUAUGGAGGUGAUCAAGAGCUCGUCGUAAAGGUUUACGUUGAUGCAAGCUUUUACACUGAUCCGGAUGACUCUAAGUCUCAAACCGGAUACAUAUUAAUUCUCAAUGGGGGAGUGGUAAGCUGGUGCAGUUCCAAGCACAGCGUGGUAGCUGAUUUUACAUGCGAAGUUGAGUACAUAGAUGCCUCGGAGGCGGCUAAAUAAGGUGGUUGGAUGAAGGAGUUCAAGACAUAUCUUGGAGUUGUGCCUAGUGCACUCGAUCCAAUGACUCUAUUGUGUGACAACACUAGUGCCAUUGCAGUAGCCAAGGAACCAAGGUUUCACAAGAGGGCCAGACACAUAAAGCGACGCUUCAAUUCCAUCCGCGAUUACAUCAAGGAGGAGGACAUAAAUAUUUGCAAAGUGCACAUGGAUCUGAAUGUCGCAGACCAGUUGACUAAGCCUCUUCCACGAGUGAAACAUGAUCAACACCAGAACUGUAUGGGUGUCAGAUACAUUACAAUGUAAAUCACAUAGUGACGUGAGCUAGAUUAUUGACUCUAGUGCAAGUAGGCGACUAUUGGAAAUAUGCCCUAGAGGCAAUAAUAAAGUGGUUAUUAUCAUAUUUCCUUGUUCAUGAUAAUCUUUUAUUAUCCAUGCCAGAAUUGUAUUGAUCGGAAACUCAAAUACAUAUGUGGGUACAUGGACAACACUGUGUCCCUAGUGAGCCUCUAAUGGACUAGUUCGUUGAUCAAAGAUGGUCAAGGUUUCCUCGCCAUAUACAUGAAUUGUCAUUUGAUAACGGGAUCACAUCAUUAGGAGAAUGAUGUGAUGGACAAGACCCAAACUAUGAACGUAGCAUAUGAUCGUGUCAGUUUAUUGCUAUUGCUUUCUACAUGUCAAGUAUUUGUUCCUGUGACCAUGAGAUCAUGCACAUCACUGACAUUGGAGGAGUACCUUGUGUGUAUCAAACAUCGCAAUGUAACUGGGUGUCUAUAAAGCUGCUCUACCGGUAUCUCCAAGGGUGUUUGUUGAGUUGGCAUGGAUCAAUACUGGGAUUUGUUACUCUGUGUGACGGAGAGCUAUCUCACGGUCCACUCGAUAAUACAACAUCACAAUGAGCAUGCAAGCAAUCUCACUAAAGAGUUAGCCACUCGAUCUUGUAUUACGAAACGAGUAAAGAGACUCCCGUGUAACGAGAUUGAACUAGCUACGGAGACACCGACGAUCGAAUCUCGGGCAAGUAACAUACCGAAGGACAAAGGGAAUGACAUACNNNNNNNNNNNUUUCAAAGGCAUGGAAAAUUUAGCUGGCUUGAUAUUAUUGAAAAUAAAAUGGGAACUAAAGAACAAAUUGAUGACUUGGAUAAAAAGAUUCAUAAUCAUAUCACCUAUUUUGGAUCAAAGGUAGGAAUUGCUUUUAAAGCACUAAAAGAGAAAUAUAAAAUUAUUAAUGAGUGGGUAGAAAAAGGUUUUAGUGUAAUUGAUAUAAUCAUUGAUAAAAUGGGUUCCACUUUGACUCCCUCUAAAACUAAUGCUAGUACCUCUCAAAGAAAAAAUUCUAAGGUUAUAUAUGUCCUCAAGAAUACUAGNNNNNNNNNNNNNNNNNNNNNNNNNNNNNNNNNNNNNNNNNNNNNNNNNNNNNNNNNNNNNNNNNNNNNNNNNNNNNNNNNNNNNNNNNNNNNNNNNNNNGUGGUGGUGCUGCAGGUUUCCUGUGACUCGUACCCCCUGUAUGGAGGUGGAGUGUGUGCCGGGGAGAAUUCCUUGUCUGGCGAUGGGCAGACCGACGGUGGCGACGUUUGUGGGCGUCGUACUCUUUCUGAAGACUCUGUUGCGGCUACUCUUGGUCCUCCGUUUGCUCCGGAUGAAAAUCUUGAUCCUUUGGAUCGGGCGGUGGGGGCACGGUCUUGGAGCUCAUGUUCAUCGACAGUAAGCUUAGGCCCUCGCGGUGGCUAGUUCAUGGUGGAGGGCCAUGUCAUUCCCGUAGUUGUUCUUUUUUCUCAUUUUUUGCUCGCUUGGGGUUGAUGUUGUUGAUCUUUAGUACCCUUGAAUCUUGUCUUGGGUGUGUGCAUUGUGGUGUGAUGGUGUUUGUUUGAGAUGUUCAUGGUUUGUUGCUUUAUAUAUAAAGUGGGACGAAAACUUUUUUCGAUAAAGGAGGAGGGAAAUGUGCCUACCCAAAUCUUCUCUCUCCUCUACCUACAAUGAAAUUGGGUAGCCAAAAUUUAUGUCUGCUAUUGGAGAUGAUGUUAGGAUAAUUUGUUGCGGAUAAGAAACGUAAGUAAGAGUCAGAGUAAGAAGUGUUAAUCUCCUAGCCUCUGUUAUCUCUUCAUGUCAAGUUACUGUGAAUGACCUGUGAGACAUCAGGUGGCAAGUCCUCUAUGUUCGCUCAAAAGUUAAUGGCAUAAAAUUUACCUCUUUGACACGAGGAAUACUUUAUGCAAUUUUUACUACGUAGUAAUAUUAUGUACUGACAGUUCGAUGCUGAAAAAUGGAGUAGGUCUUGUUCACACAUUGUAUGAUCAUGAAUUCGCUUAUUCUCAUUAAGGAUAAUGUCAUGAAAAUCACAACAAAGCCCAAAGCAAGCUGCCAAUCAGUUUCCAGAAAAUAAUGUAUACAAUUUACAUAAAUCGUGUUUCUUACUUUAUUUCCUCGGACAACACUAUUCGGAGGAGAGAAAUACUGCCCAUGGACAUCUUAUUACAUCGAGCAAGCCAUAGCUGAGAUUAUUUAUUAUACACCAGUUCAUGAAUCAAAUCAAAUAACAGCAAGAUAAACUGGACAAGAAAUUGCAGAGGUCUUACAUUCUCAAUCACUGUUUCACCAUUCUGAAAAAAUGGCAUGGGAUUUGGCGGAUCUAACACUUCAUAUAAAUACAAAACUUUGUGGUCUUACACCUGCAGGAAGCUAGCAUACUUGGCGCCGAGGAAGAGCCUCUGCACGCAGAGCAGGGAGUUCUUCCUCACUUCGGCGUUGUCGUGGUUCAUGAGUUUCAUGACUCGGUCCUUUGCCUUGAGGUCUGCCACCACUAGGCGGCCAGAAGGGUGGUACUGAAGGAACUGUGAGAGGUCAUAGCAGGCGACUGCAAGAGCAGUGGUGUCGGUUGAUGUGUCGAUGACUGUCAUAAGGACACGUAGGAUCUGCAAAACUGAAGGUGUCACUCCACACAAAAAGUACAGAAAAAUAACAUUUCACUUUGAAUAAUAUAUUAGGCAAAGCUUGAUAGUGCCAACUUGAACAUAGAAAACAGAAUCAUAUUGGGUGUCAUUUACACAGCUGGGUUAGAUCAAGACACUAGCUACUUAUCUAGCAUAUUUAUACUUAACAAUAUGCAUUCCCGACAAAAAGUUAACAGGACUAAUUAUUCCAGGUUUUUUAACUGUUUGGCUAACCAACUGUUUGUUGCUUUUGAGCCUAUUUUUUCACGACAAAUAAAUUCAGCACCGAACAGUUCAGCAACUGCAAAAUUAGCCUCAGUGUAAGAGAACCGGACCAAAUUAAAAACAGGCCACUUUGGAUUGUACAAACAUUAUAUUUCCAUUCAAAAAAGGGACAUGACAUACCUGGAAAUCAUUUUCCUCAAAGUUAGUGAUAUUCUCUCGCCAGAAAUUUGGGUCUUUGUGCAUUGGAGACCAAUCAAGAUGGCCAAGAAGCACUUGCUGUUUGUACUUAUCAAAUGAGCUCAACCUCUUGAGGUUCUCUUUGAGACCCACUUCUAGUUGAUUCAGUGCAUCUAACAAAUCCUGGUUGUACAGGAAGCAAAAUGUCAGUUCAAAGAGGUAGUAACAGUCUCAAAUGAAUACACUAAGAAUUCCAACAAAUUUAUGUUUGCAACGCAAUUUUUGCAGAUACCACAAAACUCUGAUGCUACAAUCAAGUAUGCAUGUAUACUACAGGCAGAGAGACUAGACACUGGAAACCAAAUAUAAUGCAUCCACGUUGGGAAGUUUCCAAAAAUUCCCAAAACAAUCAGUAUGUUAAGAGGGUGAUGUUGUAUUAGCAUGCGAGCUUCCAAGUUCAUUACGAGGCAUAAAAAAAAGGACAGCCCAGUGCAUGUAGCUCCCGCUUGCGCAGGGACCGGGGAAGGGUCUGACCACUUUAGCUCUAUUGUACGCAGCCUUUCCCUACAUUUCUGCAAGAGGUUACGAGGCAUGCCAAAAACAAAUCAAGCAAUGAAUCACUGUUCAUUGCUGAUUUUUUGNNNNNNNNNNNNNNNNNNNNNNNNNNNNNNNNNNNNNNNNNNNNNNNNNNNNNNNNNNNNNNNNNNNNNNNNNNNNNNNNNNNNNNNNNNNNNNNNNNNNCAUGAGCACAGUGCUCGUGAGUCAGGCGAGGAGGACGGGGACUUGCUAUGGUGGAUCUCUGGCCGAGGGAGGGGUUUAUGGUCCACAUGACCUGGUCCUCCAUGCCCAUGUUUGACAUGGACGUGACGGGCGAAGCUUUAGGGUCUCAUGGAACUAGGAUGCGGGCGAACAAUUAUCGUCUUAUCUCUAAGCACAUUCCUUAGAUGCCAAUAGUUUGACCGCUAACUUGGGACAACAUUACCUCAUCUCAUCAAAGAUACCAUCCCACAUGGGUCAACUCCACACCGCUCAUGCUAGUCAACUCCGGGUUGAGGGAAGAACUAAUCUCCAAACACUACAAGCAUGGUGUAGCUAUGAUGCACAUGCAUUCCUAUGCAAUAACCUUGGAAGGCACACGAGCUCCUAUGAUUGAAUUUAAGAUACAACAAAUCCAAAUGUCCAUCUAAGUCAUCCAAUGGACAGGAUACUACAUUACUAUAUUAAGGAAACACAUAGUAUGCCAAUCCAAUAUUUUGCUUCCCUCCUACAAAUAUGAUCAAGUGAUUCAUCAAGCCGAUCAAUCAUUACUGGACCUAUCACUCCUACAAAUCCAUCACUAAUGGGGUUCUACAUAAUCUCUUAGAGUCCUCAUAAUUCACAUAUUAAUGCAAGGAUUACGUCGUAGUAUAUCCACCAACUUCAAUAAUCAUGGCCAGCUAAUCUCCAAGGCCAAACCACAUAGGUUGUAAACCAAUCUGACAACUCCAAGUAUACGCACUCUAUAUCCACCGAGAAACAUGGUAUCAUGAUCGAGAUCAUCGGGCUAAAUCCAAUUUACUCCGAACCAUGUGGUCUCUGUCAUCCUUGAUACUCUACCAAGAUUACCUAUUUAAAUCCAAGAAUCAAGUCCAAUCAGAAUUCUACUUGAUACUCCAAGUCAUCAUGGUAAUUAUCUCCAAACCAUGCCAUCUACUUGCUAAAGNAAAGUCAUGUAUACCACCAAGAAUAAUGUUCGCAAUCAUAAUCGUCCUACUAAAUCCAAUCUUACUCCAGAUUAUGUAGGUUAUGCUACUGUAUCAACUUGUUCCACCAAAUUCACCUACCUUCUUAAGAACCUUACGAUCCAUCAAGAUAGUCUAGUUAUAUCCUCAUGACACAUAUCAUCAUCACCAUGAUAGUCUUUAGUCUAAUACCCUAUAUCUGAGAACGAUCCUCUUAUGGCAUCACGGUUGCAGUGCUAGCUUAAGAUUGAAGGAUACGUGUUCACUAUGAUCACUCGUUCCAUACGAAACCCGGUGCUAAGAAACCCGGUGCUAAGCGGGGUUUUAUCAGGGACCUACACGUGUUCUGGCAUAUCCGUGUACUAGACACAUGACCGGAAAAUUUGAGCCGGAAGGGCUUGUGGAGGUUAGUCUGGUCUAGUGUGGUUUCCCAAACUUGAGGGGAAAACACUCUCCUACGGUUUGCGUGUGGUUGCGCAUAGCGCAGUCAGUGUCUUCAGUGUCGGCCGCCCUUUGAAGCGGAUUUCUUGGUGCAUCUUGCCUUGCCGUCUUCAGUUGUCGAGAGGGUGAGAGAGAGAGCACAGAGGGGGGUGUCUAAGGGCUUCAAUGCAAUCAAACAAGCGUUGAAAAGUCAACUCAAACAAGUGCUAAAACCAUCUUGAUCAUAAAAAAUAAGAUGAGUGAUAUAUUCGCAUGCUCGUUGCCUAAGAAAAAGUGUGACUUAUAUCAAGGCACAAACAAAAAAAACAAGCAACACACAACCUGGUCCAUCCAAACCAUUUCACGAACUCGACUUCGCAUAAGGGAGUUUACAACUCAUCCUGUCGUAGGUUCUGGGAUUCGACAGUCGUGCUUGCUUCGUGCUUCGGAGAGGAGUUCGCUAAGUCUUCUGGACCUUCUCAUGGUGUUGCCACGCCUCUUGUUGUCGCUUGCCGAAGCAAUUCACUUGAGUUGUAAAGAACUCUUGUUGUCUUCUCGUCUGGGAAGUUACUGACGAGGGUGGUUCUUCAUGGCUGUCAUUGACAGGGUAUUCUAUUGUCUUCAUGAUCUUGUCAGUGUCUUCUUGUCUUUCGAGGCUUCGAGAGUCUCAGGUGGACAUCUUCAUGUACCGAUAUUUGCAUGACAUGAUGGAGUUCUUAUCUGUCAAUCAUACUAAUUGCGAUAUCGACACCUAGAGUGGGGGAUGAAGAGAACCGUUUUCCUGCUCACUAAGGUGAGGCAGACCAAAUGGCGAGGUUCUCAUCCACUGGUGGUGAUCGACACAAUCCUUAUAAUUGACAGGGUCACUCUAUUAGUGAUGCGAAUCAAUGUUUGCACAUAUUAUGUCCUGAUUAUCGUAGGCAGAAGUGGCAUCACUCUGGAACAGUGCUCAGGGUUUCACCAUCUUCUAAGCCUCGAUGUCCUUGUUCCUCAUGGAGGUACUUCUAUUGGUGUCGUCUGGUCGCAGAGUUGUCUUCCCUGCCUUUCAGCACAGGUGUUUGCCUGGAAAGGCUACUUCCUUCCGGGCUGCCCACGAGGAUUUCGAUUUAUCCCAUGGUCGACGGCAUAGGGUACUAGCGANNNNNNNNNNNNNNNNNNNNNNNNNNNNNNNNNNNNNNNNNNNNNNNNNNNNNNNNNNNNNNNNNNNNNNNNNNNNNNNNNNNNNNNNNNNNNNNNNNNNGAUCAAACCCAAGGACUCACGGGGAGAUAUCACAACACAACUCUAGACACAAAUAAAAUAACAUCAGCUUCAUAUUACAAGCCAGGGGCCUCGAGGGCGAGAAUACGAAAGCUCUAUAAACACACGAGUCAGCGGAAGCAACAAAUAUCUGAGUACAGACAUAAAACAUGGGGUGCCUUAGAGAAGGCUAGCACAAAAGAUACAACGAUCGAACGAGGCGAGGCCUCCUGCCUGGGAACCUCCUAACUACUCCUGAUCAUCAGCGGCCUCCACGUAGUAGUAGGCACCGUCGGGGUAGCAGUCGUCGGCGGCGGGGACCUCCAUCUCCUGGGCUUCAUCAUCUGUUCGCAGCAAGCGGAUCAAGGGGACAAGGGGGGAUCAAAGCAGCGGUGAGUACUCAUCCAAAGUACUCGCAAGUCUUACAUCAGAACUAUUCUAAUUAUGCAUCAGUAUCAAAGAAGGGGGUUAUAUGUGGACUGACUGCAGCAAUGCGAGAAUAGAGAGAGAAGGCCUAGUCCUAUCGAAGACUAGCAUCUUCAGGGUCUUGCAGCAAUAGACGAGAGUAGAACAGGGGUAACACAUUAAUAGUCAUAUUGUUGCAGCAAUAUUAAAGUGAGGUCACGCCUAAAGAUCCUCCCUCGACUCCCUGCGAGGAAGCAAUCCCGAGGCAAACUAAUUCCAGUUAGGUAACAAUUGUAGUUGUAAGAGAUCGGGGCACAACUCCAAGUCGUCCUGUAACCGUGGACACGGCUAUCCGAAUAGUUAAUUUUCAUCCCUGCAGGGGUGCACCACAUGUCCCGUCACGCUCGAUAACACUCUGGCCGGACAUACUUUUCUGGGUCCUGCCCGGCCUCGGAAUAUCGACACGUCGCAGCCCCACCUAAGACUAAUCAGAGAGGCCAGCCCGCCGGUCUAAAUCCUAAGCACAAAGGGUUCAUGGGCCCAGUUCCCCUUCACGCUCCUGCACGUGGCGUGGGUGGCCGACGUCAGUCCUAGCAUCCCUUAAUCACAAGCGCGAUGCAUCUCGGGACCACUCGGGCGCGCGCCGCUACACUGCUGGCAUCUGAAAAGCUUCGGCUGAUACCGCGACGCCGAGUACCCAUAAUUCUUCCCGCGUAGCCGGUUAGUGCGAAAAGGUCUCCGACCAACCCAGAUCAAAUACCCAAAUCCAUUAGCAUCUUAAUUAGGCCAGCAACACAGUCUCGCGGGAAUCCACCCGUCUUACAACUAAUCGCCGAAGAUCCCAGCAACAUGGUCGAGUAACUGUGUGGUUGUAACAUCAGGGGAAUCCGAGGAAUCACCCUCGUUGGAUUCCGAACGAUGUACCCGUCAAGGUGGGCUUAGAGGAAUCACCCUCGGGGGUCCCACACUCGCGGGGUGGCACGACAGAGACGUCAUCGGGAAUGGUGAAAGAGGAAUCACCCUCGAUAACCACGACCGACUAGCUAUACUACAGAGAUAUCAUCAGGAGUACUUAGCGAGGUGUCACCCUCGGUACCCGAUAGUAUCCCUGUAGCGUCGUACAACGAAGGGGGGUGAACGUGCUGUGUCGGGUCUGGCUCGUCGAUCAGAGAUCGAGAUUUGGAAACAAGCGGGGCAACUGAUCUACGGGGUCAGAGGGGAUGACUGCUCCACCUAUACUAAGCAGGUUAAAGGUACAGGACUGAAAGUAGCAGUUCAUCAAAAACAGGCUAUGCAUCAGAUAUAGGAGCUAACUUCAACAGUAGCAAAAUACUAAUGCAAGCAGUAGGAAGAAAGACAUAGGCGAUAUAGGAAUGAUCAAGAGGGGGUUUGCUUGCCUUGCUGCUCUGCGGCAAAGGACUGAUCGGCAGGGUCGUAGAUGUACCCGGCAGCAGCGUCAGUCUCGGGGUCUACCGGUAAGAAGAGGGGGAAGAAACAAUAAAUAAUAGCACCGAUGCAACACAAAACAUGACAUGGAAAUAUGCAGGCUAGACAUGAGCUAACGCAGCAACAUCCGUCAUAGACGGGUCGGAAGAAUAUCUGACGAUAUUUUCCGGGUCUCGGGCUACUACCGGUUAUACUGGAAACGAUGGAAAAGUUUCAUGUUUGCUAUGCUAGGGACGCGUGACAGACGAACGGGCCGUGUUUCCGGGUUCGUCUCGCUUUGCUGAUCAACUUUCAUGUUGAAAAUAUUUCGAUCUGACUUACGGAUUAUUUUAUAUUAAUUUUCAAAGUUUUAUUAAUUAUUUAAGAAUUAAAAACAGAUUUAAAAGAUUUAGUAAAAUCCUAUUAUGACAUCAUCGCGAUGUCAGGCUGACAUCAACGUUUGACCGGUCAACUGACCAGCGGGUCCCGAACGUCAUAGGCACAGGUUUUAUUUAAGAUUAAAUAUUUAUUAAUCAGAUUAAUUCAACGAGGGACCCACGUGUCAUACUCUAAUUAUGUUAAUUAAUUAUUUUAACUAAUAUAUCUAUUUUUUUAUUUAUUUUAAGAAAACAUUAUUUUUAUAUUUUUAUUUCAACUAACGCGUGGGGCCUCCCUGUCAUAGACCCGAGUGCAAUGGCCCCACCGGUAAGUGACCUAAGGCCAAAUACACAUUUUAAAUCACAAAUAAAUAAACAUACAAAUGUCGUAUCUCUCCACAUGACUAUAUACGCAAAUACAUACNNNNNNNNNNNNNNNNNNNNNNNNNNNNNNNNNNNNNNNNNNNNNNNNNNNNNNNNNNNNNNNNNNNNNNNNNNNNNNNNNNNNNNNNNNNNNNNNNNNNUCCACACAAGUAUUGUGUUUCCAAUCAAUACAAUUAUAGCAUGGAUAAUAAACGAUUAUCAUGAACAAAGUAAUAUAAUAAUAACUAAUUUAUUAUUGCCUCUAGGGCAUAUUUCCAACAGUCUCCCACUUGCACUACAGUCAAUAAUCUAGUUCACAUCACCAUGUGAUUCUAACGAAUCCAACACCCAUAUAGUUCUGGGGUCUGAUCACGUCUUGCUCGUGAGAGAGGUUUUAGUCAGCGGUUCUGAAAACUUUCAGAUCCGUGUGUUCUUUACAAAUCUUUAUGUCAUCUUAUAGAUGCUGCUACUACGUGUUAUUCGGAAAUACUCCAAAAUAUCUACUCUACUANCUCUACUAUACGAAUCUGUUUCACUACUCAUAGUUAUUCGGAUUAGUGUCAAAGCUUGCAUCGACGUAACCCUUUAUGACGAACUCUUUUAACCACCUCCAUAAUUGAGAAAAAUUCCUUAGUCCAUUAGUUAUUAAGGAUAAGUUUGACCGCUGUUUAGUGAUUCAAUCCUGGAUCACUCUCUGUACCUCUUAACAGACUUGAGGCAAGGCACACAUCAGGUGCGGUACUCAGCAUGGCAUACUUUAGAGUCUACGGCUAAGGCAUAGAGGACGACCUUCGUCUAUUCUCUUUAUUCUGCCGUGGUCGGGUUUCGAGUCUUACUCAAAUUCACACCUUACAACAUAGUCAAGAACUCCUUCUCUGCUGUUCUAUUUUGAACUCCUUCAAAAACUUGUCAAGGCAUGCAUCUUGUUGAAACUUCUAUUAAGCAUUUCGAUCUAUCUCCAUACAUCUUAAUGCUCAACGUUCAAGUAGCUCAAUCCAGGUAUUCCUUUGAAAAACUCAUUUCAAACAACCUUUUAUGCUUUACAGAAAUUCUACAUUACUUCUGAUCCGCAAUAUGUCAACCACAUAUACUUAUCAGAAAUUCUAUAGCGCUCCCACUCACUUCUUUGGAAAUACAAGUUUCUCAUAAACCUUGUACAAACCCAAAAUCUUUGAUGAUCUCAUCAAAGUGUAUAUUCCAACUCUGAGAUGCUCGCACCAGUCCAUUGAAGGAUCGCUGGAGCUUGCAUACUUGUUAGUAUCUUUAGGUUCGACAAAACCUUCUGGUUGUAUCAUAUACAAUCUUCCCUCAAGGAAACCGUCGAGGAAACAAUGUUUUGACAUCCUAUGUGCAAUAUUUCAUAAAUAAUGCAGCAACUACUAACAUAACUCUAACAGAUUUUUAACAUCGCUACGAGUGAGAAAGUCUCAUCAUAGUCAACUAUUUGAUCUUGUCGGAAACAUCUUUGCGACAAGUCGAGCUUUUCUUAAUAGUGACUUAUCACCAUCAUCGUCUGUCUUCCUUUUAAAGAUCCAUCUUUACUUAAUAGUCUUACUACCAUUAAGCAGUUCCUCCAAAGUCUACACUUUUUUCUCACACAUGGAUUCUCUCUCAGAUUUCAUGGCCUUCAGCCAUUUGUCGGAAUCCGAGCCCACCAUUGCUUCUCCAUAACUCGUAGGUUCAUUGUUGCUAAACAACAUGACCUCCAAGACAGGGUUACCGUACCACUCUGUAGCAGUACGCGACCUUUGUCGACCUACGAGGUUUGUAGUAACUUGAUCCGAAGCUCUAAUGAUCACUAUCAUCAGCUUCCACUUCAAUUGGUUUAGGCGCCACAGGAACAACUUCCUGCACCCUGCUACACACUGGUUGAAGUGACGGUUCAAUAACCUCAUCAAGUUCCACCACUCUCCCACUCAACUCUUUCGAGAGAAACCUUUCCUCGAGAAAGGAUCCGUUUCUAGAAACAAACACUUUGCUUCCGAAUCUGAGAUAGGAGAUGUAUCCAACUGUUUUGGAUAUCCUAUGAAGAUGCUUUCAUCCGCUUUGGGUUCGAGCUUAUCAGACUGAAACCUUUUCACAUAAGCAUCGCAGCCCCAAACUUUCAAGAAAUGACAGCUUAGAUUUCUCUAAACCUUAGUCUAUACUGUGUCAUCUCAACGGAAAUACGCGGUGCCCUAUUUAAAGUGAAUGUGGUUGUCUCUAAUGCAUAACCCAUAAAUGAUAGUGGUAAUUCGAUAAGAGACAUCAUAGUAUGCACCAUAUCAAAUAGGGCGUGGCUAUGACGUUCAGACACAUCAUCACACUAUGGUGUUCUAGGUGGCAUGAACUGCGAAACAAUUUCCACAUUGUCUUAACUGCGCACCAAAACUUGUAACUAAGAUAUUCAUCUCUAUGAUCAUAUCGUAGACAGUUUAUCCUCUUGUUACGACGAACUUCACUCUGAAACAGAAUUGAACUUUUCAAUAUUUCAUACUUUGUGAUUCAUCAAGUAAAUACUCGUGUAUCUACUCAAAUCGUCAGUGAAGUAAGAACGGGGGGGGGGGCGAUAUCCACUGCGUGCCUUAGCAGUCAUUGGACUGCACGCAUCAAAAAUGUAUCAUUCCCAACAAGUUACUCUCUUGUUUCAUGUGGCAUGUUUUGCAUGUCUCAAGUGAUUCGAAAUCAAGCGAGUCCAAACGAUCCAUCUCUCAUGGAGUUUCUUCAUGCAUUUAUACCAACAGGUAUGGUUUGCAUGUCUCAAACGUUUCAAAAAUGAGUGAGUACAAAGAUCCAUCAGCAUGGAGCUUCUACAUGCAUUUUAUACCAACAUGACUCAAGUGGCAGUGCCACAACCAAGUGGUACUAUCAUUAUUACUUUGUAUCUUUUGGCACUAAUAUUAUGAACAUGUGUAACACNNNNNNNNNNNNNNNNNNNNNNNNNNNNNNNNNNNNNNNNNNNNNNNNNNNNNNNNNNNNNNNNNNNNNNNNNNNNNNNNNNNNNNNNNNNNNNNNNNNNCCUCCUCGGGGCCCACAAGCCUGCAUGGCGCACCCCCUGGCCGCGGGGUGGGGGCUUGUGGGGCCCCUGGGGCUCUUCUGGCUUGGCCCCCAAGCUCUCCGAUCUUCUUCUGUUCCAGAAAAAUCUUUUCGGGGAUUUUCUUCCGUUUGGACUCCGUUUCAAAAUCUCCUCUGAAAGGGGUCAAAAACAUGGAAAAAACAGGAACUGGCACUUGGCACUCAGUUAAUAAGUUAGUCCCAGAAAAUAAAUAAAAGGCAUGCAAAACAUCCAAAGUUUGACAAGAUAAUAGCAUGAAACCAUAAAAAAUUAUAGAUACGUUGGAGAUGUAUCAUGAUGCAUCUACUAUCUGUGCUCUUGUUCCCUUUCGGACAACAAGCAACACUUGCCUAAAAUUCCCUCCAAAUACGAUUGUUUUUCCACCGAACGGAAGUUCUUGUUUCUCCAUUAUGUCCCGCAUGCUUUUGUCCAGGGCCUCCACCGUUUGCCUCUUGGUCAUAGAUGCUUCAUCCUAGAUUAUUAGCGAUGCUGCUUUGAGUAGCUUGGCUGUCCCACUCUGUUUUGUGAAUCCACAAAUAUCCCCAUCGUCUAUUUUGAGUGGAAUCUUGAACCUUGAGUGUGCGGUCCUCCCUCCGGGCAUUAUUGAAGCUGCAACGCCGGAAGUGGCUGUCUCCACAUCAAUAUUUCCUUGCCCGCGUAUUGUGGCCAAGAGCACCCUGUAAAGAAAUGUUUUUCCCGUGCCUCCAGGUCCAUCAACAAAGAAUAUACCUCCUCUUUGGCGGUCAAUUGUUGCUAGGAUUUCGUCGUAGGCCUCCCUCUGCUCGUUGUUUAGGUUCUUAUGCAAAGAUGUGUCCUCAUGGCCCACCUCGAUGGAGGUCUCCUCCAUGAUAUCCCUUGGUAUUUCAUCUGUCGUCUCGUGCCGUUGGUCUAUCUCCGGAAGAGGAAACGAUUCUAUGUCUUUUCCCAUUGAGUGCAACAUGUCUCUGAUGUUUUUCAAAACCAUUUGUUCAAUGGUGUGUUUGCAUUUGCAAUUUCUACUAUAGUCCUCCAACAUUGCCUCGAGGUGUUUGUUCCAAAGGCUACGUACGUCGCUGGGCUCGCAAAAAACCAAGAUUGUUGCGAAUAGCCUUCGUAGUGAUGAUGGAAUUUGAAACAAUUCUGCUUUUGUCAUGCAGUCAUCCAAUGUUCUAUCUGCCUCAAUGAGACCUCUUUUUUCUGCAGCUUCACGAAAGGUUGGCAUUACUUGUCCAUCGACUGUUCGUAGGUCUUCAUAGCUAGAGCGCAUGUCACGUGGUUUAGGAGGACUCGAAGAUAGUAUCGUUCUCCUUCAACUGGGCGUGCCGAGACAAUCCUUCCAACUUGGAAUAUAGCGGCUCGCUUCCUCUGUUUCCAAAACUUCUCCUGACUUUGCCAAGUAUAAUGUUCUGGAAACUCUCUAUAUAGUAUGCCACGUGCUUUUUCAUAUAAGCUGUUUGCUUCAAAGUACGCAGUCAACAUUGAUCUUUCUGUGCCUUCACGAUCGAUAACGUUCUUUAUUUUUUCCAUGCUAUGAUAUGAAACCAUGUGCAUAUUUGGGAGAUGUAACUGUAGUUGCAAGACUGGUGGGUGUAUUUUGCUUACUUCGAAGCCAUAUAUUCUCCAUUGUGCUUCAGGAGGUGUCACCCACCGUGCGUCUCUGUACUGCUUAAUUUCGUCGAUUUUGACUUCAUCUGCUUUGUCAGUUACAGUUACACAUGCUCGGUCAUGACCCUUGUAGAUGUACUUGAAGAGGUACUUAACAACUUUAAUGCUUGAGCAUAUCUCAACAUUUAUGUGGUAGUUGAACAUCCUUAACAGAUAGGGAAUAUAAGGAACCACCCACCUAUUAUCUAGUUCCCAUUUUCGGACCAUUUUAGUUAUGACGUUGUUGCGUCUCCUAUAUAUGGGGUAGGAGUCCUUGCCUUGAAUCAUAGUUUCAUUAAAUGGCCUUGGCUAAUUGUUCUUGCAUGACCGACAAUUCUUUGUGCAUGGACAAAAUUUAUUCAAUGCACCGCAAGGACCAUGCAUCAUAUGCUUGAUUACCAUUUUGUAUAGCUCCGGAUAGUUGUGCUUGUUAGGUAGCUCGGCAAAGAUGAUUCUGUCAUACUGCUCUAGACAUGUAUACUUGCAUUUUCCAGUCAUGAUGAGCAAAAAGUGAGCAUGGGGUAAUCCCCUCUUUUGGAACUCUACUACAUAUGUAUAUGCGUGAACUUUUCCAAGAAUUGACUUUUCAAAUAGUUGUUUUUUCAUUUCUUGUAAUUUCGCCCUAAAACACGAACAACUAUGUGUGGUCGAUCUUGUGGUGUUUGUCCAGUUUCUAGUUCUCCUGUGAUCUCCUCCCAGUUGGGGUUGCAGGUCAUUGUUAGGAAUACGUCUGGCUUUCCAUAUUUUCUAACCAAUGCCAUAGUGAUACGUCUCCAACGUAUCUAUACUUUUUGAUGGUUUCAUGCUAUUAUCUUGUCAACUUCGGAUUUUUUAUAUGCAUGAAUACGCUAUUUUAUAUCUUUUUGGGACUAACCUAUUAACUCAGUGCCUAGUGCGAGUUUCUGUUUUUUCCGUGUUUUUGACCCUUUUUCAGAUGGAGUCCAAAUGUAAUAAAACUUUCGCGGUGAUUUUUUUUGGACCAAAAGAGACCCCCGAAGCUUUGGAAGAAGGCCAGAAGAGCCACGAGGGAGUCACAAGCCCAGGAGGCGCCCCCACCCCCUAGGCCGCACCUAGCAAGCUUGUGACCUCCUCAUGGGCCCAAUCGACAUAAUUCCACCGCCAUAAAUUCCUAUAAAUUCAGAAACCCCCCAAAAGAAACCUAGAUCAAGAGUUCUGCCGCCGCAAGCCUCUGUAGCCACCAAAAACCAAUCUGGAGCCCGUUCCGGCACCCUGCCGGAGGGGGAUUCCAUCUCCGAUGGCCAUCUUCAUCAUCCCGACGAUCUCCAUGACGACGAGGGAGUAGUUCUCCCUCGGGGCUGAGGGUAUGUACCAGUAGCUAUGUGUUUGAUCUCUCUCUCGUGUUCUUGAGAUGUCAUGAUCUCGAUGUACCGCAGGCUUUGCUACUAUAGUUGGAUCUUAUGAUGUUUUCCCCCUCUCCCUUCCUGUAAUGAAUUGAGUUUUCCCUUUGGAGUUAUCUUAUCGGAUUGAGUCUUUAAGAACACUUGAUGUAUGUCUUGCACGUGUCUAUCUGUGGUGACAAUGGGAUAUUCAUGUGAGUACUUGAUGUAUGUUUUGGUGAUCAACUUGCGGGUUUCGUGACAUCGGGAACCUAUGCAUAUGGNNNNNNNNNNNNNNNNNNNNNNNNNNNNNNNNNNNNNNNNNNNNNNNNNNNNNNNNNNNNNNNNNNNNNNNNNNNNNNNNNNNNNNNNNNNNNNNNNNNNGUAGUAGGGAUUUUGCUCUACACCAUAGUGGUGUCAUUUAUCACUUGGUGUUAUGUGUGUGCAAACUAUGCCUAGACAAAGUGGGCAUGUGGCUGAAAAUUCCAGUUUAGUGAAAUCUGGAAUUUCACAAAGUCUGGGAUUCUGGAAACAUUUUCUUCUCUUAUAGAUGAGGAUGGGUUGGUCAUUGUGUUGAGAACUAGCCUUAGUUCAGUGCUAGGAUUUUGGACCUCAUAGGUUUGUGAAGCACCCUGUCAAAUUUCAAAUCAUUUGGAGUCCAGUAGGUUGUGUUUUGAUUGCUGUAAAAAAGCUUCAGAACAAAGACAGAAACUCGGGUGCAGGAAUUUUCACUAAGUCCCUGAUAUCUGAUGGUUUUGGGAAAGUUUGUGGCCUUGUAUCUUCUAGAGUUUAGUUCCUUUUGCUGUGAUUCUUGCUAGUGCUUGUAUUGUUCUUGGUUGGCAACAGCCACAUAUAUUAUUUUUCAUGUUUGGAGGCCUGUAGCUAUGUUGCAUGUAGCUCCCAAAGAGCUAAGAUGCAGAUUGUGGCAGAUUAUGUAGUAUAGUCAUUUUGAUCAAUGUGUGUGCUUAGUUGAUGUUGUGGUGUUCUUCCUUGCUCCAAUCCAUUCAUGUUGGGUUGUUAUAUGUCUUGGCAACCUGGGAAUACCAGAUUUGCGCCAAUAGAGUGUGUGGUGUUGAUCUUCCACGUAGAGCUUCAUAUCUUGUUUCGUUGAUUCCCGUUGACCCGUAGCUCCGUUUGCAAUGUUCUUUAUAUGGUUUUGCAUCGUUUUCACGAGCCGCGUCUGUUCAUGUCAUUCUCAUGCAUGUAAAAAUAGCUUGGUGUACAGUUCUGUCCAGAAACUUGCAGUAGUUUAUUUUGCUUGUGCUGGUGAUAGAGUUAGUGAUGCAUGCCCAUUUUUCAUCUCAUGCAUCAUGUGAUUGUUGCAUCUUGUGGUGCUGCUGUUAAUUGGUUGUUAUUCUCAUGUUGGGUAGAACCGGGAUCGGAGAACGAAUACGUGGAGUCAGGAGAGUACGUGCAGGACGAACCAGAACCAUUCCAAGCUGAGGAUAUCACAGGCAAGAUGAUAUGACCUUGAUUCCAUCUCUAGACUUGUUAUGGUAGUUUUCGAUUCCAUGUCAUAUUGCUCGCUGCCUACCACUGAAUUAAAUUGCCUCUUCAUAUACCAUGAGCCCAAACACCGUUCCCCUUCCUAGCAAAACUUGUAUGGCUAAGUAGGCUUGCUCAGCUACUAAUGUUAGCGUUGCUAGUUGCAGGUGCUUUGACUCAUGUGAUAACAUGAGCUUUGAUAUCAUUAUCUUACAUUCCGUUAUUUAAUUAAUGCACCUAUAUACUUGGUAAAUGACGGGAGGCCUAGCCUUUUGCCGGGUGCUUUGUUCCGUUAUUGCCGCCUUAGUUACCGGUUACCGGUGUUUGAUUCCAUAAUGAUCGCUCCUAACACGUUCGGGGUUGUUAUGGGGACCCCCUUGAUAAAUCGCGUAGUCCUAAGGCUUGUCCGGCAGGACCCAACAUUGGUGUUAAUUUGCUAAUAACUUAAUAAUAAUCUGCAUAGGGAGUAGCUACCUCGAGGACUUUAAUCAACAACCCGGGCCAGUGCUCCUCAUGAGUGUUGGUACAACCCAGAGCAGCUUAUUACGCUCCCCGGGGUAACUCGGUGUUUUGGCGUGGUAACCAUCGCUCAUCCGGCGUGUCCUGAGACUGAGAUACGCGGCUCUUAUCAGGGUCGUCGACACGUCGGGAGGUCCUGCUAGCCUUGUCUUACCUUAGCGGUAUAUCUUGCGUAUAGGAAUCCCAGUGAAGCUUUGGUUCUCCCAAGAGUUGAGGUUUUCCUCUAAGGAAUCCGACGAGAUCACGAGAUUCGCUAUAGAGGAUGCCUUUGCGGCCUGUGUUCGUUUAUGAUGGACUAGUUGGAGCACCCGUGCAGGGUUUAAUCUUUCGGAAAGCUGUGCCCGCGGUUAUGUGGCAACUUGGAAUAUUUUGUUAACAUCUGGUAUUAGAGAACUUAAACAUAAACUAAUAAAACUGCCAAUUGUGUGCGUAACCGUGACUGUCCCUUCGAAGUUCUCUCUUCGAUCGGGAACACGGUGGGGUUAUGAAUGUCGUAGGUAGGGGUUCAGGAUCACUUAGUGAUCAAGUAAACCCGAUCGUUAGUGUAGACCACAAGCAUAGGAUGAUGCAGCCUGAUACACUUCUCCCUUACCCGACCUAAUAACAUGACUAGUUCUGGCACCAAGGUCUUAGAUUGCUGAGUCCCCGUGGCUCACGGAUUCCUCCGAAACUCCCAGCAGGUACAGGUACCCCACAGACAGAUGAUCCCGACGGCACCCAGUUGGUGUGGCAGUACGACGAGGAGACAGACCGCCUCUACGUGAACUAUCCAGAGGACUGAGGCGUGGUCGUGAUCGUGGGCCUGCAGGCAGGGUAGCAUAGCAUUUCCAUGUUUUGUAGUCUGUAGCGGAACUACCUUGAUUGUAUCUAUGUUGUACUCUGAGUUAUUAAUAAGAAGACAGUUGAAUCCCGAGUUGUCUACUUUUAUUAUUAUUUGUGCUAUGUUACUUGCUUGAGAAAUGCUUAGAUGCGCUUCUUUCCUAUUCGGGGGCCUCGACCCCCAGAUUGGAAAGGACCGCAUCUUGGUCGUUACAUGGUGCCACCAAAGAAGCAAGACAAGGGCAAGGACGUGGUGCCGGCCUCAGAGGUGACGCGCGUCCACAGCCCGACCACGAACGACGAUGUGCCAGAGGAGCCCCCGAGCGACAAGCACCGGAACUACGACCACUACCAUAAGGUGGGAGGGCCAACUAACUUCUACAAGGUGAUCAUGGGCCCCCGGCUCGAUGCGAUACCUAUGUCACUGGACUUCAUGAAGCACUUCCUGUCCCGGGAGUUCAAGAUGAAGAUGAACACCGGCUGCUCGUGGAGGGUCGUUGUCUGGCAGUUGAACGACAGGGUCACCCUCGACCAGGGUUGGGUCACCUUCACCGUCGUUCCAUUACAUCAAGAUAGGCUUCAUGGCGACCUUCAAGUUGCUUACUCCCGACAUGUUGAAGGUCAUCGUCUUCAAUGACGAUGGCAUUGAAGUGGUGACUAGGUGCGGGUGGCAGGACGAUGCCUUCGCCAUGAACGACUAGGACAACCCCUCGUAUGCUCCAGCUACUUUAGUUUAAUAUCAAACUGCUUUGCGUUUGAACUGAUUUGUUUAAGUGUGACACAGUAUUUAUAACUACUUACUACUAUGUUAUGUUAUAUGUGUUCUUCCUAACGACUUUGUGUGUUGGUAACCUCACCACCGCGUCGAAGAAUCACACAACAUGUGUUGCAUGCAAGCACACAUUAGGCCUUGUGUUUGCAUGUACACAAGUGGGAAACAAAAAAACAUACCUUUCGUGAUAUCCGAUGCACCCUAGAGUGUGCACACAACCAAACUAAGGCCGGUGUUAGUUUUAUGUCUGUUUUAUCUUAGUCGGGCCUUGUUGACUCCACGAACCAGUCCCGCUAGGAACGCCUACAAAACACACCCCUGGUGCUUGAGACUUGAUUGCUCUUCUAGNNNNNNNNNNNNNNNNNNNNNNNNNNNNNNNNNNNNNNNNNNNNNNNNNNNNNNNNNNNNNNNNNNNNNNNNNNNNNNNNNNNNNNNNNNNNNNNNNNNNUCCCAAGAUUGUGCAACAUGUUUAUGAUCAAGUUGCUUAAAAUUCAUAGUAUCAUUACGGAGAGAGGUAAUCUUAGCCGGCGGAAAAUACUUGGAUAUAUAAGCAUCUUUGCACUUAUUCCAAGAAUCAAUACUAUUUUUGGGCAAAGACGAAAACCAAGUUUUUGCUCGAUCUCACAACGAGAAAGGAAAAAGCUUCAAUUUAAUCACAUAAUUAUCCACAUCUUUCUUCUUUUGCAUUCGCAAAGCUCAAUGAAUCUAUUAAGAUGGGAUGCGACAUCUUCAUUAGGAAGGCCAGAGAAUUGCUCUUUCACAACAAGAUUCAGCAAAGCAGCAUUGAUUUCGUAUGAUUCUGCACUAGUGGCGGGAGCAAUCGGAGUACUAAUAAAAUCAUUAUUAUUAGUAUUCGAGAAGUCACAAAGUUGGGUGUUUUCAGUCAUGGUGACUUUAGCAAGCAAGCAAGCACACAAGCAAACAGAAAGCAAGCGAGAGAAAAUGGCGAACGAAAAAGGCAAACGAAGAAAAAGGCAAAUAUUUUUGUAAAUUUGUAUUUUUAGUUGGGAAUCUUACAAACUAAUAAUAAUAAUCAAUAAAUGCAUCAUCAUCAUCACUAUCACGCAUGUAUUUAUGAAUGAUGUGCUCAUCGGGUUCAACGGCAUGAAUUUGUGGAAGGCCUUUCUGUAAUCGGUCAAGCAUUGAUAGGUCAUCCGCAUCAGUAACCUCUUCUAGUUCCAGCUCUGCUAGUUUCGGCUCAGGGCUGAAGUCGGAUUCAUUAUCGCUGUCUACUUCCAUGUUCUGGGGUGAAGCACAGCGGUUCUUGAAACGUUUCUUGGAAAGACGUGUUUCUUGGAAGAAUUAUCCAUCAUACGUGUCUGGGUUAAUGUGAGGUUCAUAAUCGGGGUCAUUUGGGGGAGGUGGUCUAACACGUGGUGGCACUUCAUAAACAACAUACCAACCUUCCAGAUUCUUAUCAGUUUGGCAUGCCCACGGUAGAUAGAACACUUGGGUCGCCUGUUGAGCCAUAAUAUAGACAUCGGGAACAUCUAAAUAGGUGUUUGGAUUGAUUUCGACUAGUCCUAUAUGUUCAUGAGUGCUUCUAGUCUCCUUCGGCUGGAACCAAUAACAUUUGAAGACUACGACGUUCGGUGAGUUUUCACCAUAGAAUUGAAGUUCAUAAAUUGCUUCACCGCUUCCAUAAAACUCGAUACCACCUUUGCCGAUACCAGAGACACAACUUUUUGUAGAUUUCUGAUCGGGGUAGAUAGAUCUUUGCCAAAGGUACGAAGGAGAUACCCGUUGAUGUUGUAUUUCUGAAAUGAAUGGACCUUAGAGUUAAAACCAUUAGUGGAUUGUCUCAAUUGGGCGUCCAUAGACUCUGAAUUAGCCUACAAGUUUAAUACGAAAUGAUUUUUGCAUUAGCCGCAAGUUUGACCAAGAAAUGAAAUGGUCCAUUAUUGAUAAUUAUCGUUUGUUUGAACCAAGAGAUGAAAGACGGAUAGCCACCUCCAUGCUUUGUGAGAAGCUCAUACUAUUUGAAGGAAUCAUUUUGGAUCGCCGCUCCAUCCGAGAAUUUGGUGAAGUAUUGGUUGUAUGCAAUAUCCGGGAAUAAUAGAAGAUCAAAGGAAUUAUAAGUUACGGAAAAAUGUGCCGAGAACUUACUCGAUGUACGGCCGCACUUCUGUUAGGUUGUUGAAGAUAUACAACGAAAUGUUCCGCCAUUUUUUGACAUCCAACAUUAUUGGUUUCGAAGCACCGGCUGGUGCGAGCUUCCCUUAGAAUAGGAUGAGGUUGGAUCGACCUUUUUUAUGGUCUGCAUCAUUGUACCGAGGCUUUGGAUUAUGCAAAUGAUGAUUUUUGGCUUCGAAGUGUGUUGUCACAAAGUUUGCCACCUCGUCAGUAAUGAAUUCCUCAGCCAUCGAUGCUUCAAUUCUACACUUAUUUUUACAUUUAGCUCGAAGCGUCUUCUGCAUCCUCACAGUAGCAUAGCACCAACGAUUUCGCACGGGCCCACCCAAUCUUGCCUCGGUUGGUAGAUGUAAACGCUGCAAUGUAUUAAAGAAUCCCGGAGGAAAGAUCUUCUCUAACUUGCACAGCAAGUCCGGUGCAAACUACUCCAUGUCAUCUACCAUGCCAGGCGACAAUUCUUUCGCACAAAGAACAUGGAAUAAAAAGCUCAGCUCCAGCAGUACUAGCCAUUCAUCCUUAGGAAUAAAGCCACGUAACAUCACCAACAUUACCUGCUCAAGCCAUAUGUGCCAAUCAUGACUCUUGAGACCAUAGAUUUCUAAUUUUUAAAGACUCGCUCCCCUCUUUAGAUUCCCUGCAUACCCAUCGGGGAACAUCAAAUGCAUUUUGACCCACAUGAUACUUUCCCUCAUAGCUGGCCUUCCAAGAUUGAACCAGGCCUUUGGCUUCGACCACUUGUGCUUUCCUUUGCCUUCUCACAUGUUUUGUAACGUUCUAUGACAUAGUGUCUCUUGAUUGACUCUAGCCUUAGUAUUAUCCUUUGUCUUCACAUCUAUGUCGAACAAUGUACCAAAAAUAGCCUCUCCUAUAUUCUUUUCAGUGUGCAUCAUAUCAAUAUUGUGUGGAAGAAGGAGGUCUUUGAAGUAAGGCAGAUCCCACAAGCAUGGCUUGUGAGUCCAGGCAUGUUUUGAAUUAUCCCCCUUAAAAUACCAUGGACGCUUUGGAUCAGGCUCGAGGGCGUUUAACUGAUCCAGGAUCUGUUGGCCUGUCAACGCAGGUGGUGCGAAGUUUUUGAGAACUUUACCUUUGGUAAAGUUCUUCUUGUGUUUUCUGAACUGAUGGUCAGGAUCCAGAAGCUGUCUAUGCAAGUCAAAGGAAGAAUACUUCCGACCCUCCUGCAACCAAUGAAACUGAAGAGUUGCCUUGCAUGUGAGGCACGGGAACCUUCCAUGCACACACCAUCCAGAGAAUAGCGCAUACGCCGGCAAGUCAUGCAUAGAGUACAUCUACCACACAUGCAUUUUGAAGAUUUCUUUUCUAGCGGCAUCGUAUGUCUUGACCCCAUUAUCCCAAGCUUCUUGCAAUUCAUCCUUAAGUGGCUGCAUGUACACAUUCAUAUUUUUCCCUGAAUAAUUGGGCCCUGGAAUUAUCAACGUCAUAAAUAUGUUAUUUUUUGCAUAAUCUGCCGAGGGGGAGAUUGAGUGGAAUGACAAAUACAGGCCAACUACUGUAUUGGGUUGCCGUCAUCCCGAAGGGAUUAAAACCAUCCGUGGCGAUGCAGACUCGAGGAUUCCUUGGAUUUUCCGCUUUAUCCUGAUGCAAUCCAUCGAAAUGUUUCCACGCUUCCCCAUCCGAUGUGUGUACCGCCAUCUUAUUCCCAUCCACGUCUAGUUCGGUUCUUUUGCCCAUUUUGCGCCAUGUCAUCUGUCUGCUGUCUCUUCGACCAUGAAAAGACGUUGAAGCCUUGGUAUGAUAGACAUAUACUGAAGAACACUAACUACGAUUUUGGUGUGCCUCUUCUCACCCAUACCGUUGUCUACCACAAGAUACCUGCAAGACUUGCAAUUGGGACAAUAGUCCAAGUGUGCAUACUCCUUCUGAAAUAAGACACAUCCUUUCUCACAUGCAUCUAUCUUCUCAUAGGGCAUCUUAAGUACAUGAAGUAUUUUGUCCGACUGGUACAGGUUUGCAGGCAUGACAUGGACUUUGGGUAGAAAGCGUCCAAAUAGUGUCAUCAUCGCGUCGUAGCAUUCUCUUCCCAAGUUGAACCGAGCCUUCAGAGACAUUACUUGUGCAAUGGCAUCCAACUGACAAAGCUCAGUGUGCUCGUGGAGAGGACAUUUUGAAGACUCCAACAUUUCAUAGAAGGCCUUUGCAGAUUCCUCCAUCUCAUCUUUCAAAUCCCGAGCAUCAUCAAAGUCUUGCACCAUGUCUUCGAUCACGGUACCAUGCUCGUCGAUGCGACGACGAACCACCUCACCUCUGGUGCGUUGUAUAGACUCACCAUGAAAUUUCCAAACCGUAUAAUUAGGCUUAAAACCCAUCCUCUGCAGGUGUUUAAUCAUUACAACCUCUGUCCUCUUUUUAUAGUUGUCGCAUUCAGGACAAGGGCACCAGUUUGUUUCCUGGCCAUUUGCAAAUGCGGCUUUCACAAAAUCCUUCGUUUUUAGAAACCAUUCUUUCGUCAUCUCUUUCUCACUAGGGUGACUGGUGUGCAUCCACACACGAUCACUCAUCUUGCCUAGCUACUAAACACAUGAGAAAUAUAUUUCUAUAUAAUUCUGACUAGCAUGGCACGCAAGAUCCGUUCAGCUAAUGUCGCUGAAGUCGAUAAGUUGACAAUCACGGCAUACUUCCUUGAAGGCCCUGCCAACCUGUGGUGGCAGAAUGAUGAGGCCAUACGUCCUCCUAGUCAAGCGGCCACCUGGGCUGACUUCAGUAUUGCUUUCUUCUUGCACCAUAUCCCAGAAGGUCUAAUGGAUCGUAAAAGGGAAGAGUUCUGUGGUGUGACUCAAGGAAAGUUAACUCUAAACGCUUAUAGCCGUGAGUUUGGAAAUCUUCCCCGCUAUGCGCUAGAAGAGGUGUCAACUAACGCCAAGAAGCAGGCAAGGAUCAGGAAGGGACUAAGCCCUGAGCUUCGUCGUGACUUGCACCUACAUGAGUGUGUUAGCUUCAAAGCUCUGGUUAACAAGGCUAUCAAUGCUGAAACCGGACAGACCGAUUAUGAAGAAACCAAGAAGCACUCCCAUGAUUUCGGUUCCUCAUCCGACUCUGGAUUUCAAAAGCGCCGAGUGUGGGUCCCGAACAGCUCUCUACCGUCAAGGUACACCGCAAGGCCAUCCUAUGAGGUGUCUCAUGCAAAUCAGACCAACCCUCCAACCAAGACAUAUGGUGGUCUAGCUACCAAUGCUGCCCCACGCACCAACCCAGUGGUUUGUUACAAAUGUGGAGAGCGUCGUCACUACUCUCAUGAGUUCCCGCAGACAAAUGCUUCCAACCAACCUGGAAAGUCUAUUGGACGUGGCAAGCCAAGCAAAGCAUAUUAUGUGAAGCCAACCCUUGCAUGUGGAUGUGUGAACCACGUCUCAGUCGAGGAAGCCUCUGAUGAUCCCGACAUCAUUCUAGGUACACUUCUUGUCAGUUGUCAUCGAGCAACUGUUCUUUUUGAUACUCGGGCAUCUCAUUCAUUCAUUUCCGAAAAUUAUGCACAGUUGCAUAACCUGUCAUUUUGUGAUAUGCCCACUCCAUUAGUAGGUCAGACUCCUGGUUCUAAAUGAGAAACUUCAAGAAUGGGCCAUGACAAUGAAAUUCUUGUGGACAGGCUAGUCUUCCUAGCUUCUUUGAUAUCCCUUAAAUCUUCAGAUAACAAUAUCAUGUUGGUGUGGAUUGGAUGCCAUCUUAUUAUGCCAAGAUUGAUACUCACACUAGGAAUGUUAAGCUUACAUAUCCAUCGGGUGAGAUAGUUAAUGUCUCAACUCGAGUUGCCAAACGCCAACUUUAUUCUCUCAAUGCUAGUCCUCUUCCAGAGCUAGAAGAUAUUGGGUAGUGUGUGGCUUUUCAGAUGUCUUUCCAGAAGAUCCGCGAGGCAUUCCACCUGACACGGAUGUAGAGUUUGUGAUAGAUCUUGUCCCAGGAACUAUUCCAAUAGCCAGAAGAGCUAUAAAUGGCAUCGUUAGAGCUAGUCUAACUUAAGAAACAACUCGAUAAGGCCUUGAAUAAGGGUUUCAUUCGUCCUAGAUCUUCUUGUUGGGAUUGUCUUGUCCUCUUUGUCAAGAAGAAGGACGGAAUGGAUUGGAUGGUUGUAGAUUAUCGGCCAGUCAACCUGGUAACCAUAAAGAACAAGUAUCCGCUGCCCAAGAUCAACAACAUGUAUGGUCAGCUUGCUGGAUGCUCAGUCUUUUCCGAAAUGGAUUUGGGGUUGGGCUACCAUCAAAUCAAGAUUAAGAAUAGGGGCAUUCCAAAAACGGCCUUUUUAUUCGUUAUGGCCAACAUGAGUACACCGUCAUGUCCUUCGGCUUAACCAAUGCCCCAGCCACUUCCUCUCGCUUAACGAAUUCGACCUACAUGGAGUAUUGGGAUAAAUUUGUCGUGGGUUACCUCGAUGAUAUAAUCAUUUACUCAAAGAACGAACAAGAACAUGUUGAACAUCUAAAGCUGGUAUUGAUGAAACUUCAAGAGCACAAUCUUUAUGCCAAGUUCUCUAAAUGUGAAUCCUAGUUGCCAGAAGUGACCUAUCUAGGCCACGUAAUCUCUGGUAAGGGUAUUGUUGUCAAUCUCGAGUGACUUCAAGAUGUCCUUGAUUGGACUCAACCUGAAUCGGUUAAGCAAGUUAGGUGUUUUCUUGGUCUAGCGAACUAUUGUUGCCGCUUUGUGGAGAACUUAUCCAGGGAUUCAAAGCCUCUAACUGAACUCCUCAAGAAAGAUAAAAAGUUUGAGUGGACUCAAAAGUGCGAGCAUAGUUUUUAGGAACUAAAAAGAUGCCUGACUUCUACACCCGUAUUCGUACAACCAGAUUUAUCUAAGGACUUAUGUGGGGACCCCAACUUACGUGUCGAGAUAGCCGAAUGCACGUGUACAGUGAUCCCAGAGAUAAAUGCUCACAGAACACACAUAUACUCAAUAACAAGAGUCUUACAUCCGAAAUUAAUGUAUCAUACAAUAAAGGACCAUCACGGUCAAGUCUUACAUAUAUAGGGCAAAAAAGGCCAAUCACACAAACACAACUACUAGCUGAAUACUUGGUAGUAAAUGGGAACCCAUGCCAUCAGCUUUAACCAAUAGGCAUUCUGACUGGGAAGCGUCCUAGGUCGCGUGUCUGUCUCCGACGAUGAAUUCUUCUCCAUACUCUAGUUCCCCCAUGUCUGGUAAAUAAAAUAACCAGUGGCAAGCCAAUGAUUACAUUGAAUGUACUCGCCAUCAACCCACGAUAUGGAUAAUGUAGUUGGUACGAUAAUAUAUAUGCAGCCUUUGCGGAAAGCAAAUUUUGAUUGUAAAUAAGCAUGAUCAAUUGCUUGUAUGGACAUGCAUCAUAACUAGAUGGUAUUCAUAAGAAUAGGUCACAGAUAUCAGCAUAUCUGCUGUGGGUUGAACAUCAUAGAUUCACCCUAUAUGCCAAGUCACCAGACCUGUCAUAUCAUCUUACUCAGAUAACAACUUUAUAUACACACACACAUGGUUUAUGCGGAAACGACAGGACGUAAUUUAAGCAGGAUUGCCCAACUGUCCUUGACCGUGGACACGGCUAUUCAAAUAGUUCUACACUCUGCAGAGGUUGUACGUUGUACCCACGAGAUCCGGGAAACUUCCAUGUCAUCCACGACUCGUGGUAUAUAACAUACCCGACGUAAGUACCCGAUCAUUGCCUUUCCCCUGACGACACUAGACAAAGAGUCCACUCGAUUGGUACCCAGUCCACAUGAUGUACGUCUUACGAGCACCAACUCUAGACCGUAUCAUCCAUGCGGGUACCAACGGUGUGCCUAGAAUACGUAAAAACGGUAUAGUCGACCUACCUCGUACGACCCCGUCACGAGAGUGGCCAUAUCACUCCCGCCACUCGUAAUGCGGCUCCUUGUUAGUACCGACCAAAGUAAUCAACAAAGCCUUGUCCCAUUAAGGGGUAUCAUGGUCGCACAUGUAAGGUUGGGACGGUCGACACAUCACACAUCUAAUCCAUUUCAAAACCACUCACACAAAACCUUUCCGGUACACCACUUCUUUCUCAAGUGGUCAUCCAGCUCAACACCAUCACCCUCGGGCAUUAGUGCCACCCGACGGGGGUUUUGAAAAAACCUUUUAUAUCACCUCAGUGUUAACAUCACCAUGCAUAUGCUCAUCCUAUGCGUAGCACUACUACUACUUGUCAACAUUUUAUCUUCGUGACCCUCAUAGGUGGUAGGGUCAUGCUCAAACGUAAGAGCUCCAGAGGAGCCAUCGGGAACACCUUAUCGAUGGGUUACCGACUAUUUCAUGAUCAUAUGCACUGGAAUAAAGUAUUCAACCUCGCAUGCAUAAGAAAUGUUUUCUCUAACAUGGUCGAAGGGCUGCUUGCCUUGAUCAGCUAGGUAUCCAGGGUCUUCGUGGUCUUCGCAUCCAAGUGCUUCGUUAAACGCAUGAUCUAUCGUUGUAAUAAUAAUGAUAAUAAGCCCACUCAAUAACAGAGCACAAACUUAUUUUAAAAAUCAUAACCUAUUUUGAGAAAUUCUAUUUUUUAUUUUCAAAAUGUUUGUUUCUGUUUUUGAAGUCAAAGGUAUUUUUAAAGUCUCAUUAACAGGAGCUAAAAAUACCAAAACUUGGUAUUUAAUUAAUGAUGUGCAUAAAAGUCUUUACAAAAAUUUACACAACAGAACUAAUAACUUCUACAUAUUUUUACAGGAAUUAUGGUCAAAUGGAGAAAUAAUCUAAGAUUCUAAGAUUCUACAUUUAAUCUAAAAUAUUUGAAUUUAAUAAAAUAUUUUAUCCUGGAGAAAUAAUAUAAGAUUCUAGAUUUAAAAAUGAAGAUAAGGGGUUCAGCCCUUGGCCCGGCUCGACCAGCAGCUGGCCCGGCCCAACUGGCCAACCAACCAGCUAGCCAACCAGUCAGCCCAGGCGCGCGCCCGUUAGGUAUAAACCUGACGCGCAGGCCCCUACAAUUAGCAACACAGAGGGCGAGAGACUGGCCACCAACAGGUGGGACCCUCCUAUCGGGGUCGUCUUCCACCUCCAGACAGAGAGGAGAGGAGGCAUGCCGGCGGCUGGUCCGACGUCCUCGUGGUCAAAUGAGCACAGAAAUGGGCUCGUGGCAUGUCCGCCUACCUGGUAGGGGUCGAGGAACAGACGAGGAGGACCUGAGUCACCGACGAUGACGAGACCGCGACGGAGGAGUUUUGUGUUGCCAUGGAGAAGGGUGUUCCAAGCAGGGAGAAGCCCCGGGGAGUGGUGGAGGAGGUUCCUGAGUUUGUUGUGGUCACGGGCGAAGUGAGAGGAGCUCGAGAGCGAGCCUGUAUGCCGAUAUCGAUGGAGCUCCGACGCGGCGACGCCUCGGUCGAUCUCAAGCACUGGGGCUCUCCUUGCUCAAGUGGGUGUGCUAGGGGAGCGAUUGAAGGUUGGGAGCAGAGGAAUGAGUUGCUAGAACAACGGGGGGAGCCUAUUUAUAGGCUGGCGACGGGGCAUUGAGCGGGAAGCACCGGUGGUUUUCGCCAUGGCUGUAGGAGAGGGAGAGAGGGCUCGGGGCGUAAACCACGGUUUGCGGACAUGGUUUAGGACUCUGUGAACGCAAUGAGAGGAGCAGGGUAAGCGGUGAAGGUGUGGUGUGGGGCCGCACCCUCCUGGCCGAAUGAGGCAUGCGCAGGCACGCGUCGCCUAAGUAAGUGGAGAGGGGAAGAAAGGGGCCCCGAGGCUGACCUGAGUCGGGUCGUUGUCGGGGGCGAGGUGAGACAUCGAGGGUAGCCUCAGGUGUGCCAUGUAGCGCGUCAAGAGCAUAGUUUUGCCAAGCCACAUCAUGCUUCCGCGCCUUGGCGCGCUUUGGCCUUGUCUGGCGCGUGUGUGGGGUGGGUUAGAUGCCCCUCUGUUGCUAGGAUCCGAGAAGAUCAAUGUUGGUCAAAGGGAGGUGCUUAAACAUGCUCUGUCGGCAUUGGACCAGGAGCUAAAUUUGGGGUUUUUGGCUUCCUCACUUUGAACCAAGGAGGGGCACUCGUCUACAGUUGAGGAGUGGUGCUAGCAGUCUGAGCUAGGAUGUUUGAAGAGAAGGGAGUGGGUGUAGUGUGUGCUAGAUGUUGUUUCACCAAUGAGGCUGAAAGUUAACAAGAUUGAGUUUUAGGCAAGAUUAGGAUGAUGGACCAAAUUUGAGCUCCAUUGGACAAGUUUGGCAAUGCAAACUUGAAAACACCCCCAAAUGGAUAGUUCCUCCUUAUUAAUAGGAAAUGUGAGCAAAUUAAUCCCCACAAAUCCAAUUCUUGGUAGGGUCUUCUCAUUUCGGGUAUUUAGCACUGCUGCAAAGUUUUAGGCCAUUUCGACAAACUUUGUAAUGUAGAGAUUCUUCAACUUGAAUCUAGACACGAAGGGUUUUAGGAUUAUUUGGUGAACCAAACCAUCUUGGAAUGAGGUGGAACUUGGCAUGAUCAUCAAAUAUAGCUUGGGGAACAUGUUAGAAUUUUCUGGGAAUUUAUGGAGAAUAUUUGCUUUGGAAAUGUUUCAAAAGUUGAAAAUAGACAGAAUAGGUUUUCAAAUAUUUUCCCAAAUAUUUUGAGCAUAAAUAGGGAUGGAAAAUAUAUGUUCUCGGAGUAUCUCCAAAUUUUCUCAGAUUUUUCUGAGGUAGAAAAAUAAUUUUCCACUUAGAAAUAUCAUUUCUAACAUCAGAAAAGGAACUGUAAAUAAAAUAGGAAAAUAUUUUAUAAAAUAAUUAUUUUAUGAUUUUGGAGUGUUAUAAUAGUGCUAGAUUCAGAAUACAAUCUUUCAUGAAGGCAACCCCUUGAAAUGAGGGACUUGUAGUGCAAACUCCAAAGCAAGGUUUUGAAUUAACAAAAAUGCAAUAUUAUGUUAUGAAAAUUAUUUUUAGAUCCAUACACUCAAGCAUACAUACAAUCAAUGACAAUCAUGGCACUCAUAGAUUUUUCUUAAAAGGUUUUAAUUAAAUACAAAUUUGAAAAGAGUACAGUUGAGUCAAAGUGAAAACAGGGUGUGACGGACCUAUCCCCCUUACAAGAAUCUUGUCCCCGAGAUUCCUAACCUAGGUGCUAAAAAGGUACGGAAAUUCGGAUCUCGGAUAGUCUUUAUGCUCCCAUGUUGCUUCUGCUCCGGUGUGGUUGCUCCACUGUACCUUGAAGUACUUGAUGGGUGCGGCUUCUGGUACAAUGCUCGGCUUCGUCUGGGAUGCAGAUCGGUCUCUCGCGGUAGGUGAGGUUAGGCCGAAGGUCAAUGGCUUGAUGGUCGAUGUCCUUAUAAGAUCUGGACGGUUCGGCGCUUGAAGGCACUUCCGAAGUUGUGACACAUGGAAGACAUUGUGCACACCCGAAAGUUCUGGGGGUAUAUCUAACUCGGAAGCAACUUCUCCAUGCCUUGUCGUGAUCUUAAAAGGUCCAAUGUAUUUUGGAGCAAGUUUCCCCUUCAUGUGGAAACGCUUAGUCCCCUGAGACGCGUGACGCAGAGGUACACAUGGUCUCCGGGGUUGAGAUCCACUUCCUUGUGAUGGGAAUCUGCAUAGCUCUUUUGUCGCGACUUGGAAACCUUUAGGGCCCCCCUGACAAGCUGCACCUUUGCUUCAGCUUCACGGAGGGCGUCUGGCCGAAAAAUCAACCAUUCACCAGUUUCGGACCAGUUGAGAGGACUACGACACUUACGUUCGUAUAGCACUUCAAAUGGGGCGAUUUGGAGACUGGACUGAUAGAUUUUGUUGUAUGAGAACAAAGUGAAAGGCAGACAAUCUUCCCAUUUGGUUCCAUGUGCCAAGACACAAGCACGGAGCAUAUCCUCCAGUAUCCAAUUCACUCGCUCCGUCUGUCUAUCCGUCUGUGGGUGGAAGGUGGUACUGAAGGAGACCUUAGUUUCCAUGGCUUCUUGGAACUUCCUCCAGAAUCUUGAGCUAAACUGCAUGCCUCGGUCGGCACAAUCUCCUUGGGAACUCCAUGGAGGCUCAUAAUACGCUCAAUGUAUAGAAUGUUAGCUUGUCACCACCAUAAGCGAUGCUAAUAGGAAGGAUGUGUGAGACGUUGGUGAGGUGAUCGAUAAUGACCCAUAUGGAAUCAUCUCUUGUAGUGGAUCUCGGUAGACUAGUGAUGAAGUCCAUACCGACUUUAUCCCACUUCCAUUGGGGCACCUGGAGAGGUUGUAGCAGUCCAAUAGGUCGCUGGUGCUCAGGUUUGACCCGCUGGCAUACGUCGCACUUGGCGACAUAUGAAGCUAUUUCCCGCUUCAUGCCAUGCCACCAGAAUCUUUCUGUCAGGUCUUGAUACAUCUUGGUCCCACCAGGGUGGACUGAGUAGGGAGUGUCAUGGGCCUCUUGCAAGAUUAAUUUCUUGAAUUCAGCCUUGUUGGGUACGCAUAAACGUUUCCCAAACCACACAACUCCUUGUUCAUCCCAUGAGAACCCUGGGGCCUUGACUUCCUUGAUCUUCUUCUUGACGCCUUCGAUGCUCUCGUGUCCCUUCUGGGCCUCUUUAAUGUCAUCUGCCCGAGUGGGUUUGACCUGGAGGUUAGCCAGGAAUCCUUGUUCGACCAGCUCUAACCCGAAGCUCUCCAUCUCUUCAUACAGGGUGGGUAGCCUUUCCUUGAUCAUAGCAUUCAAGGUGCAAGCCUUUCGGCACAAUGUAGCGACCAGUUAGCUAGCCUUACCGGGGUGGUAUUGAAUGAUGAGGUCGUAGUCAUUAAUCAGUUCCAACCACCUUCACUGCCUCAGAUUCAAAUUCUUUUGGGUCAAAAUAUACUUUAGACUCUUGUGGUCAGUGUAUAUUUCGAAUCGCUUCCCUAGGAGGUAAUGCUGCCUGGUCUUCAAGGCAUGAACAACAACCGCCAACUCGAGAUCAUGAUUGGCGUAGUUUUCUUCAUGCGGGCGCAGUUGCCGUGACAGAUAAGCCACGACUCUAUCGUCUUGCAUCAGAACUCCACCAAGCCCGACUCUUGAGGCAUCACAGUAUAUCAGAAACUCCUUGUUGAUAUCUGGAUUGGCUAGUACCGGGGCGGUGGUCAAUCUCUUCUUCAGUUCCUGGAAGCUUUCUUCGCACUCCGACGUCCAUUCGAUUUUUUUGCCCUUCUUCAAGAGCCGAGUCAUUGGCCGGGCGAUGCGGGAGAACCCUUCCAUGAACUUGCGGUAAUAUCCCACGAGUCCGAGGAAGCUUCUAACUUCCUUCACAUCAAUUGGCAACUCCCAGUUGUUUACCGUAGUAAUCUUGGUGGGAUCGACUGCCAAUCCUUCUGCCGUCAUGGUGUGACUGAAGAAUCCAACUUCGUACAACCAGAAUUCGCAUUUGCUAAACUUGGCAUAAAGUUGAUGCUCUCGAAGUUUUUCCAACACCAGCCUCAAGUGUUGCUCAUGCUUUUCUUUGUAUUUGGAGAAGAUUAAUAUGGCAUCGAUGAAGACGACAACAAACUUAUCUAGAUUUUCCAUGAAGACUUUGUUCAUGAGGUACAUGAAGUAUCAUGGGGCAUUGUUCAACCAAAACGACAUGACCGUGCACUCGUACAGACCGUACCUGGUCACUAAUGUCGUCUUAGGUAUGUCCUCGGGGCGAAUCUUCUGUUGGUAGUACCCCGAUCUAAGAUCGAUCUUGAAGAAUACCUUGGCACCAUUUAACUGCUUGAAUAGGUGUUCAAUCUUGGGGAGUGGAUACUUGUUCUUUAUCAUGACUUCAUUGAGGGAACGGUAAUCAACGUAGAGCCUGAUAGUCCCAUCCUUCUUGGACACGAAUAGAACAGGUGAUCCCCAAGCUGAGGCACUUGGAAGUAUGAAUCCCUUCCUCGGCUGCUCGGCCAACUGCUUCUUCAACUCUGCCAGCUCCUCGGAUCCCAUCCUAUAAGGCUUCUUAUAGAUAGGCCUUGACCCGAGCAUUAGCUCAAUGAUGAACACAAUGUAUCAGUCAGGAGGCAUUCCAGAAAGCUCAUUUUGAAAGGUGUCCGGGUAUUCACAUACCACUGGUACUCCAUCCAACUCUUUAUCUAAAAGGCAAUUAACCGUAGGGACUUGACUGGAGGUAGGCUCAUGGACGUAUUUCACUUUGACCCCUUGGUCACUUGUCAUGUUAAUAGCUCUCUUGGCACAGUCCGGUAUGCUUUUUGGUGUUUGGCAAACCAAUCCAUACCAAGGAUCACUCCAAGCCUUGCAACUUAAGGACGAUGAGAUCUUCCACAAGGUAUAUCCCACUAAUGCUGAUCCCAACUCCUCUACAUCCUAGGUUGGUCCAUAGCACCGCUCCCGGGGUCUGUACUGCCAUUUUCUCAUUAAGAAGGGUAGAGUUCAAACCACUCUUUGCAGCAAACUUUAGGGUGACAAAAGAAUGUGAAGCACCACAGUCAAACAAUAAUGUUGCUGGGGUGGAGUUGACGAGGAACGUACCCAGAAUGCAGUCCGGGUCUUCCUCGGCUUUCUGAGCAAAGAUGUGAUUCACGCAUCCCCUGCUAUGGUACUGCUGGUUGCGGGGAGUGUAAUUCAUGUUUGGUGCUCCAUGACCUUGUCCUUGAUUUGGCGCAUAGGGGUGCCGUGCACCGGGCUUCUUGUUGGGGCAUUGCUUGGAGUAGUGUCCUGGCUGACCACAUCCAAAGUAGGUGACCUGUCGUAGGAUGCUGGGCUUGCCCCCACUAUUUUUGGGCGAAUUGAUUGCCGGCUUGGGGUUGGCAAGCUGCUGAGGCUGAUAGUUUGGGCGAAAUGCACGAGUCUUGUACUGCUCGUGUUGAUAGUUAGGCCUUGCCGGGAUGGAUUACAAUGGACGAGCCUUCUGGUUGCUCGAACCAACAUUACCCAUCAUCUUACGCUUGCGAGUGUCAUCCAUAGCACGACGCUUGUCUUCAAGCAUGAGAACCUUGUUUACCAGAUCACAGAAGGUCCGGCAGUCACACACAACAAGAUGAUAUUUCAGCGACAGCUAAAGUCCUUCAAUGAAGCGUUCCACCUUAGUGGCUUCAGUGCUGACGUGUUGUGCCGCAUACCUCGAUAAGAGGUUGAAUUUCUGCAGCUAGUCCUUGACUGUGCUACUGCCUGGCUUCAGGGCACGGAACUCUCGCUUCUUGAUAGUCAUCAUUCUAGGGGGAAUGUGAGCAGCGCAAAACACGUUUUUGAAGACAGCCCAAGUGAUAGCCUGCGCCUUGCAUAAUCUAGAACCCGUCCCACCAAGCCUUAGAUGUGCAUCCGAGAAAGUGAGAAGCACAAAGGAUCUUCUCAUGAUCCUCGGUGCACUUAACUAGCACGAGGAGGUCUUCAAUGGUGUGGAUCCAGUCAUCGACAUCUAGGGGCUCAGUUGUCUCAGUGAAUAUUUUGGGCGUAGUCCUCAUGAACUCAGAUAGAGUGGAGCGAUCAUUGCCAUUUCCGCCAUGUGGGAGGUUGUUCACUAGGGUGUGAGCAAUCUUCUGGAUAGCGGCGUUGUUGGCUUUGAGUUCCUCUCGGAGAGCCUGGAGGAAGUGAGCCAUAGUCAUGUUCUCCAGAGUAGGCGGUGGCGGGGGAAUGUCGCCUUGCUGCUGCUCUGGGCGAUCUCCAGCUUGGGAAGACCCACCGGCUCCUGGCUGCUUGCUAGACUCGCGAAUGCUAGGGUUGCUUAAGGUACUGUUGCGAGUAGCAGUCAGCAUCUUAUUUGGAGCAGUCAGGUCAAUACUUCAAAGUGGUCGAUUGGAAAGCAUAAAGGGAUGACAUGCCUAUAUAAGAGGGCUUUGGUAUGUGCAAGUGUGUCUAACAAGAAGAGUCGAAGAACCCUCUGCAAAUACAUUAAUUAAGAUAGGCGAUGUAGUCACUUACAUGUUGCCUAAAGCAAAAGCGCGGCUUGCAUCGAGACACAAACAGAAAGCACACACUCUACAAGCAUUCAUGGUUUCAUAUGAACCACUACACGGACUCGACUUUGCAUGAGGACUCCUAACUUGUCCUAAGACAUCCAUCCUAAGAGACGGAUUGCUCGGUCUCGUAAGGAUCUUCAGGGUCUUCCUCCUCAUCCUCAUUUGUGUGGGUAUCAUCUUCCUUCACGGAUGUGGGGGAAGUAAGAGGUCCAUCACGAUGACAUUUCAUCCGGGAAGCGGUGAGGAGUUCAGUGUAUUCCUCGGUGGUCAGGCGAUGACUCUAUAUAGGAGUGGCCUUAAAAGUGGUCGUAUUCCUCCUCGGAAGGCCAUGGCAGAUUGCCCACCAGGAUCUCGCUCUUUCUUAAUGUUGUGCGUCUUCAUCUUCUCUAGGCGGAGUAGGUCCUUAACGUGAUGAAGUUCAUGGCAGAGCGUCACGGACUCCUUGAUCAGAAGGUGAGCUAGAGUGUCAAUAGAGAGGCUGAAGUAAGUACGAAACCUGAGUGGCGUUCCUUCCUCUGGGAAUGGGUUGAGGGUCCAUCUCCCGUCAAGUCUGUCCUUAACAAAAGGCAGGCGAUGAGUAGCCGGCUCGUUGGCCAUCUCAGGAAGGAAAUCAUGGAGAUGCACAAGCGCCUCUCAUGUUGCUGUCUCCACUGCCAAUACAAGAAUCUCCAUCUGUGGUCCUUCAAAGAACCAACGAUCUGGGGAGUCUUUUGCCUACACAAUCAAGUCCACGUGAUAUUCCUUUGUGCUGGCAUUGACCCAUUGCUCGUGGUAGAGAAAAAACGGGUGUGCGACAUACUUGACACUUCUUCAAGCUGUCUCCCAAGAGUAGGGGAAAGCCAGUUUCCAGGAGCGUCUCAGGUACAACGACCAUCUACAAGGUUUUUAGGAGAGGGUUAGAAAUUUGUGGGUGGUAUGAAAAUAUAGUAGGGUGUACAAAAUCUCAAGUGUAAGGGCUGAGAGUGUUAUUCGUCUCGGCUAUCGUCCAUGCUACCUAAGGCUUCCUACAGUCAAUAUGGAUCACAUACCAAAUCCGUGGGGACCUCGACUUACGCGUCGAGAUCACCGAAUGCACAUGUACGGUGAUCCUAGAGAUCAAUGCUCACUGAACACACGGAUACUAAAAAGCAAGAGUCUUACAUCCGAAAUUAACGUCUCAUACAAUAAAGGACCAUCAGGGUCAAGUCUUACAUAGAUAGGGCCAAGAUGGCCAAUCACACCAACACAACUACUAGUGGAAUACUUGGUAGUAAACGGGAACGCAUGCAAUCAGCCUUAACCAACAGCAUUCUGACUAUGAAGCGUCUUAGUUCGCGUACCCGUCUCUGACGACGAAUUCUUCUCCAUACUAUGGUUCCUCCAUGUCUGGUCAAUAAAAUAACUAGUGGCAAGCCAAUGUGUACAUUGGAUGUACUCGCAAACAGCCCACGAUAUGGAUAAUGCAGUUGGUACGAUAAUAAAUUAAUAUGCAACCUUUGCGGAAAGCAUGUUUUGAUUGUAAAUAAGCAUAAUCAAUUGCAUGUAUGGACAUGCAUCAUAACUAGAUGGUAUUCAUAAGAUUAGGUCACAGAUAUCAGCAUAUCUGCUGAGGGUUGAACACCACAGAUUCACCCUAUAUGCCAAGUCACCAGACUUGUCAUAUCAUCUUACUUAGAUAACAACUUUAUACACAACAGAGACAUGGUUUUUGCGGAAACGACGAGACGUAGUUUAAGUAGGAUUACCCAACUGUCCUUGACCGUGGACACAGAUAUUCGAAUAAUUUUACACUCUAUAGAGGUUGUACGUUGUAUGUCAUCCACGACUCAUGGUAUAUAACAUACCCGAGGUAAGUACCCGAUCAUUGCCUUUCCCCUGACGACACUAGACAAAGAAUCCACUCGAUUUGUAGCUAGUCCACAUGAUGAACGUUUUACGGGCACCAACUCUAGACCGUAUCAUCCAUGCGGGGACCAAUGGUGUGCCCAGAACACGUAAAAAUGGCAUAGUCGACCUACCUGGAAUGACCCCGUCACAAGAGUGACCAUAUCACUUUUGUCACUAGUAAUGCGGGCUCUUUGUUAGCACCGACCAAAGUAAUCAACAAAGCCCCGUCCCAUAAAGGGGUAUCGUGGUCACACAUGUAAGGUUGGGAUGGUCGACACAUCAUAAAUCUAAUCCAUUUCCGAAACCACUCAUAUAAAACCCUUCCGGUACACCACUUGUUUCUCAAGUGGUCAUCCAGCUCAACACCAUCACCCUCGGGCAUUAGUGGCACCCGACGGGGUUUUUGAAAAAACCUUUGAUAUCACCUCAAUGUUACCAUGACCAUGCAUAUGCUCAACCUAUGCGUAGCACUUCUACUACUUGUCAACAUUUUAUCUUUGUGACCCUCAUAGGUGGUAGGGUCAUGCUCAAAUGCAAGAGCUCCAGAGGAGCCAUCGGGAACACACUACCGAGGGGUUACCAACUAUUUCAUGAUCAUAUGCACCCGAAUAAAGUAUUCAACAUGACUUGAAUAAAAAAUGUUUUCUCAAACAUGGUCAAAAGGCUGCUUGCCUUGAUUAGCUAGGUAUCGAGGGUCUUCGAGGUGUUCGGGUCCAAUUUCUUCAUCAAAUGCAUGAUCUAUCAUCGUAAUAAUAACAAUAAUAAUAGCAAGCACACUCAAAAACAAAGAACAAACUCAUAUUUCAAAUGUUAACCUAUUGUGAGAAAUUCUAUCUUUAGUUUUAAAAAUGUUUGUUUCUUUUUUUGAAGUAGAAAGGUGACGGGUAGGCUCAUCGAGCCUACUCCUUUGCCUUCUACCUUGAAGGAAAAGCAUGACUCAUUCUAUGCGGCCCAAUCCCCCUUGCCGGCUAGGAAGCUCCUGCCGGCUAGGGGCGAGACGGCCGAAUCUCCUUGGCCGGCUAGGAAGCUCCUACCGGCUAGGGGCAAGGCGGCUACCUCCCUCUGGCCGUCUAGGACGCGCCGGGUGGCUUGAGGCGAGACGGCCAUUCCUAGGCCGGCUAGUGAGGUGCCUAGCUGGCUAGGGAGCUCAAGUCACAUCAGACCAAAGGUCGUGAUGGUACCCUAUGUUUAAAGGUGAAUACGCGUCACCCAAGGUACAAGAUUGGAGCGCACAGUAGGUAUAGUGUGAGCAGCCAUGCCACUGACCUAUUCCGGCUCCAAUCCAUCAUCCUACAAAAUGUCGGCCCAUCAAACUCCCACUCCAUUACCACACGCGGCGUGGGAACAGUGGAGACGGCCGUACUGGCAACCCAUGACGAAUCUCACCAGACGACGCCGGACGUACAACAUGUGUCCCGCAUCGGCUCUAUGCGAGAGCCUCAUUGGCUAGCCGGCGGGCCCCAUAGCCAGAUGGGACCUCGUAGCCGGCGGGCCCCUUUAGUGAGAAGACAAUACCACUCUGUACCCCUUGGACAGCCGGCGAGGCUGCCAGCCGGUUCCCACUCAUGUACUUUUAUCCUUAUUGUAGGUCGGUGGGUUCGUCUAUAAACCCGCCUAACCCCCCUCCAUGCAUAGGGUCGGCCAAUCCUUCACACACACACUUAUACAGGAGAGGUAGACGCGAGCCGGCUGCCCCUUCUCUAGGAAAUAUGCCCUAGAGGCAAUGAUAAAUAGUUAUUAUUAUAUUUCCUGUUUAAACAUAAUCGUUUAUUAUCCAUGCUAUAAUUGUAUUAAGUGAAAACAUAGAUACAUGUGUGGAUACAUAGACAAAACAAUGUCCCUAGCAAGCCUGGAGUUGGCUAGCCAGUUGAUCAAUGAUAGUCAAGGUUCUGUGGCUAUAUGCAAGUGUUGUCACUUGAUAACUGGAUCACGUCAUUAGGAGAAUCAUGUGAUGGACUAGGCCAAAACUAUGAACGUAACAUAUUGAUCGUGUCGUUUUAUUGCUAUUGUUUUCUGCGUGUCAAGUAUUUGUUCCUAUGACCAUGAGAUCAUAUAACUCACUGGCACCGGAAGAAUACCUUGUGUGCAUCAAACGUCACAACGUAACUGGGUAACUAUAAAGGUGCUCUACAGGUAUCUCCGAAGGUGUCCGUUGAGUUAGUAUGGAUCAAGACUGGGAUUUGUCACUCCGUGUGACGGAGAGGUAUCUCAGGGCCCACUCGGUAGCCUUACAAGCAAUGUGCCUAAGUAUAAGUCACGGGAUCUUGUAUUACAGAACGAGUAAAGAGACUUGCGGAUAACAAAAUUGAAAUAGGCCGACGAUCAAAUCUCGGGCAAGUAACAUCCCGAAGGACAAAGGGAAUGACAUAUGGGAUUAUAUGAAUCCUUGUCAGUGAGGUUCAACUGAUAAGAUCUUCGGAGAAUAUGUAGGAUCCAAUAUGGGCAUCCAGGUCCCGCUAUUGGAUAUUGACCGAAGAGUGCCUCGGGGCAUGUCUACAUAGUUCUCGAACCCACAGGGUCUGCACACUUAAGGUUCGAUGAUGUUUUAGUAUAAUUGAGUUAUAUGUGUGGUUACCGAAUGUUGUUCGGAUUCCCGUAUGAGAUCGCAGACGUCAUGAGGGUUUCCGGAAUGGUCCAGAAAUGAAGAUUGAUAUAUAGGGUGAUUUCAUUUGGUCACCGGAAAGUUUCGGGCAAUUCCCGCAGUGUACUUGGAGUGACGAAUGAGUUCUGCUAGUUCACCGGGAGGGGCCCACCCACCCGGGAGUGAGCCUAAGGCACUAGGGUGGCACCACAAGUCCUUAGUUGUCUGGUGGAGUCAGCCCAAGGGGCCCAUGGCGCCGCAUAAGAAAAUACUAAAGGAAAAUAAAAGAAAAAGGGAAAGAGGGAGGUGGGAAGGAAGAGGAGGACUCCUCCUUCCCCAAACCGAAUUGGAGGAUGAGUCCUCCUCGUCCUAGCAUCGGUGCACCAUUGAGGGCCUUGUCCCUCAAGUCUAGCCCUCCCCCUCCCUCCUAUACAUAGUGGUCUUUUAGGUAUGAUUUGAGACAACUUUUGCAAUGUGCAACUCAACCCUAGACCACACAGUUCUGCCUCUAGAUCGGAUUUCUGAGGAGCUCGGGCGGAGCCCUGCAGGAGUAGAACAUCACCACCACCGGAGCGCCGUCAUGCUGUCGGAGAACUCAUCUACUUAUCUAUCUUGCUUGCUGGAUCAAGAAGCUCGAGAUCAUCGUCGAGAUGUACGUGUGCUAAGCGCGGAGGUGCCGUCCUUUCGGCGCUAGAUCGGAACGGAUCGUUGGACGGAUCACGGGGUUGUUCGUGGGACGGUUCGAGGGACGUAAAGACGUUCCACUACAGCAACCACAUUUCUUAACGCUUCCUGUUGUGCGAUCUACAAGUGUACGUAGAUCCAAAUCUCCUCUUGUAGAUGGACAUCACCAUGAUAGGUCUUUGUGUGCGUAGGAAAUUUUUUGUUUCCCAAGCAACGUUCCCCAACAGGGGCAUCAUGAGCUAGGUUCAUGCAUAGAUGUUAUCUCGAGUAGAACACAAAAGGUUUUGUGGACGGUGAUGUUUGAUUUGCUACGCUCCUUAGUCUUUUCUCGAUUCGGCGGUAUUGUUGGAUUGAAGCGGCAUGUACCGACAUAACACGUAUGCUUACGAGAGACUGGUUUCAUCGAUUGACAUGCAACCUCAUUGCAUAAAGAUGACUGGCGGGUGUCGGUUUCUUCAACUUUAGUUGAAUUGGUUUUGACCGAGGCGGUCCUUAGAGAGGUUAAAUAGCAAUUUGCACAUCUCCGUUGUGGUUUUUGCGUAAGUAAGAUGCGAUCAUACUAGAUACCCAUAGCAGCCACGUAAAAGAUGCAACAACAAAUUAGAGGACGUCUAUUUCAUUUUUGCAGGGUAUGCUUGUGAUAUGAUAUGGCCAAUGACGUGAUGUGAUAUAUUGGUUGUAUGAGAUGAUCAUGUUGUAAUAGUUAAUAUCGACUUUUACGUCGAUGCUACGGCAACCGGCAGGAGACAUAGGGUUGUCUUUAAACUAAUGUUUGUGUUUGCAGAUGCGUUUACUAUAUUGCUAGGACGUAGCUUUAGUAGUAAAAGCAUAAGUAGCACGACAACCUCGGUGGCGACACGUUGAUGGAGAUCAUGAUGAUGCAGAUCAUGGUGUGGCAUCGGUGACAAGAAGAUCGUGCCGGUGCUUUGGUGAUGGAGUUCAAGAAGCACAAGAUGAUGGCCAUAUCAUGUCACUUAUGAAUUGCAUGUGAUGUUAAUCCUUUUAUGCACCUUAUUUUUACUAGAACAACGGUAGAAUUAUGAGGUGAUCUCUCACUAAAAUUUCAAGACGAAAUUAUGCUCUCCCCAACAGUGCACCGUUGCUACAGUUCGUCGUUUCGAGACACCACGUGAUGAUCGGGUGUGAGAGACUCAACGUUCACAUACAACGGGUGCAAAACAGUUGCACACGCGAAACACUCUGAUUAAGCUUGACAAGCCUAGCAUGUGCAAAUAUGGCCUCGGAACACAUGAGACCGAAAGGUCAAGCAUGAAUUGUAUAGUUGAUAUGAUUAGCAUAGAGAUUCUUACCACUAAAACUACUCUCAACUCACGUGAUGAUUGGACUUGAGUUAGUGAAUUUGGCUCAUGAACCACUCAAAUGACUAGAGCGAUGUACUUCUUGAGUGGGAGUUUAGCAAGUAAUUUGAUUAGUUAAACUCUAAUUAUCUUGAACAUAGUCUAAGUCCACUUUGAAAUAUUUGUGUUGUAGAUCAAUGGCUCACGCGACAGUCACCCUGAAUUUUAAUACGUUCCUAGAGAAAGCUAAGUUGAAAGAAGAUGGAAGCAACUUUGUAAACUGGGAUCGUAAUCUUAAGUUGCUCGUGCAAGCUGGGAAGAAGGAUUAUGUCCUUAAUGCUAUGCUAGGAGAUGAACCACCCGCUAUGGCUGACGAAGAUGUUAAGUAUGCUUGGUUAACACGUAAGGAGGACUAAUCAGUAGUUCAAUGUGUAGUCUUGUAUGGCUUAGAGCCGGGACUUCAACGUCGCUUUGAGCGUCAUGGAGCAUUUGAGAGGCUCCAGGAGUUGAAGUUUAUCUUUCAGAAGAAUGCCGGGAUCAAGAGGUAUGAGACCUUCGAUAAAUUCUAUGCUUGCAAGAUGGAGGAGAAUUCGUCUGUCAGUGAACAUGUGCUCAAAAUGUCUGGGUACUCAAACAAUCUAGCUGAGCUGGGGAUUGAACUCCCCCAAGAGGCUAUCACUGACAAAAUUCUUCAAUCACUCCUACCAAGCUACAAGAGCUUUGUGUUGAACUAUAACAUGCAAGGGAUGAACAAGUCACCCGGUGAGUUAUUCACAAUGUUGAAAGUCGCAGAGUCAGAACUCCGUAAAGAGAAUCAAGUGUUGAUGGUGAAUAAGACCAGUAGUUUCAAGAGAAACGGCAAAGGCAAGAAGGGUAAUUCCAAGAAGAGCGGCAAGCGUGUUGCCAAUCCAACGAAGAAACCCAAGGCUGGACCUAAGCCUGAAAUGGCGUGUUAUUAUUGCAAGGGACUGGGUCACUCGAAGCGCAACUGCACCAAGUAUCUGGCUGAUAAGAAGGCGGCCAAGGAAAAAUCAGGUAUAUUUGAUAUACAAGUUAUUGAUGUGUACUUAACCAAUUGUCGUAGUAGUGCCUGGGUAUUCGAUAUCGGUUCUGUUGCUCAUAUUUGCAACUCGAAACAGGAACUGCGGAAUAAAUGAAGGCUCGCGAAAGAUCAAGUGACGAUGCGCGUGGGAAAUGGUUCCAAGGUUGAUGCAAUCGCCGUCGGCACAGUUUCACUUCAGUUACCAUCAUGAUUAGUUAUGAACUUAAAUAAUUGUUAUUUAGUGCAUGCGUUAAGCAUGAACAUAAUAUCUGGAUCUUUUUUUAUUGUGAGACGGUUACUUGUUUAAGUGAGAGAAUAAUGGUUGUUCUAUUUCUAUGAGUAAUAUCUUUUAUGGUCAUGCACCCAAUGUGAGAGGAUUGUUCAUAUUGAAUCUUGAUAGCGAUGAUACACAUAUAUAUAACAUUGAGACCAAAAGAGUUAGAGUUAACAAUGGCAGCGCCAUGUUUUUGUGGCACUGCCGCUUAGGUCAUAUUGGUGUAAAGCGCAUGAAGAAACUCCAUUCCGAUGGACUUUUAGAGUCACCUGACUUUGAUUCACUUGACACGUGCGAACAAUGCCUCAUGGGAUAGAUGACUAAGACUCCAUUCUCCGGAACAAUGGAGCGUGCAAGUGACUUGUUGGAAAUCAUACAUACCGAUGUGUGCACUCUAAUGAGUGUGGAGGCAUGCGGCGGAUAUCAUUAUUUUCUCACCUUCACUCACAAUUUGAGUAGAUAUGGUUAUGUCUACUUGAUGAAGCACAAGUCUGAAACGUUUGAGAAGUUCAAGCAAUUUCAGAGUGAAGUUGAAAAUCAUCGCAACAAGAAGAUCAAGUUCCUACGGUCUGAUCGUGUUGGGGAACGUCGCAUGGGAAACAAAAAAUUUCCUACGCGCACGAAGAUCUAUCAUGGUGAUGUCCAUCUACGAGAGGGGAUGAGUGAUCUACGUACCCUUGUAGACCGUACAGUAGAAACGUUAGUGAACGUGGUUGAUGUAGUGGAACAUCCUCACGUCCCUCGAUCCGCCCCGUGAACUAUCCCGCGAUCAGUCCCACGAUCUAGUGUCGAACGGACGGCACCUCCGCGUUCAGCAUACGUACAGCUCGACGAUGAUCUCGGCCUUCUUGAUCCAGCAAGAGAGACGGAGAGGUAGAAGAGUUCUCCGGCAGCGUGACGGCGCUCCGGAGGUUGGUGAUGAUCUCGUCUCAGCAGGGCUACGCCCGAGCCCCGUAGAAACGCGAUCUAGAGGAAAAACCGUGGAGGUAUGUGGUCGGGCUGCCGUGGAAAAGUCGUCUCAAAUCAGCCCUAAAACCUCCAUAUAUAUAGGUGGGAGAGGGGGGACCUUGCCUUGGGGCUCAAGGAGCCCCAAGGGGGUCGGCCGAGCCAAAGGGGGGAAGGACUCCCCCCAAGCCGAGUCCUACUUGGUUUGGUGGGUGUAGUCCUUCUUUCCUUUUCCACCUUCUCCUUUUUUUCUUUUCUCUUUGAUUUUUCAUCCAAUGCGCAUAGGGCCCUUUUGGGCUGUCCCACCAGCCCACUAAGGGCUGAUGCGCCACCCUCAAGGCCUAUGGGCUUCCCCGGGGUGAGUUGCCCCCCCCCCCGGCUGAACUCCCGGAACCCAUUCGUCAUUCCCGGUACAUUCCCGGUAACUCCAAAAAUCUUCCGGUAAUCAAAUGAGGUCAUCCUAUCAAUCUUCAUUUCCGGACCAUUCCGGAAACCUUCGUGACAUCCGUGAUCUCAUACGGGACUCCGAACAACAUUCGGUAACCAACCAUAUAACUCAAAUACGCAUAAAACAACGUCGAACCUUAAGUGUGCAGACCCUGCGGGUUCGAGAACUAUGUAGACAUGACCCGAGAGACUCCUCGGUCAAUAUCCAAUAGCGGGACCUAGAUGCCCAUAUUGGAUCCUACAUAUUCUACGAAAAUCUUAUCGUUUGAACCUCAGUGCCAAGGAUUCAUAUAUUCCCGUAUGUCAUUCCCUUUGUCCUUCGGUAUGUUACUUGCCCGAGAUUCGAUCGCCAGUAUCCGCAUACCUAUUUCAAUCUCGUUUACCGGCAAGUCUCUUUACUCAUCCCGUAAUACAAGAUCCCGCAACUUACACUAAGUUACAUUGCUUGCAAGGCUUGUGUGUGAUGUUGUAUUACCGAGUGGGCCCCGAGAUACCUCUCCGUCACACGGAGUGACAAAUCCCAGUCUUGAUCCAUACUAACUCAACGAACACCUUCGGAGAUACCUGUAGAGCAUCUUUAUAGUCACCCAGUUACGUUGUGACGUUUGAUACACACAAAGUAUUCCUCCGGUGUUAGUGAGUUAUAUGAUCUCAUGGUCAUAGGAACAAAUACUUGACAUGCAGAAAACAGUAGCAACAAAAUGACACGAUCAACAUGCUACGUCUGUUAGUUUGGGUCUAGUCCAUCACGUGAUUCUCCUAAUGACGUGAUCCAGUUAUCAAGCAACAACACCAUGUUCAUAAUCAGAAGACACUGACUAUCUUUGAUCAACUGGCUAGCCAACUUGAAGCUUGCUAGGGACAGUGUUUUGUCUAUGUAUCCACACAUGUAAAUGAGUCUUCAUUCAAUACAAUUAUAGCAUGGAUAAUAAACGAUUAUCUUGAUACAGGAAUUAUAAUAACAACAAUAUUUAUUAUUGCCUCUAGGGCAUAAUUCCAAUAGUCUCCCACUUGCACUAGAGUCAAUAAUCUAGCCCUCACAUCAUCAUGCGAAUUACAUUGUAAUAAAUCUAACACCCAUACAGUUCUGGUGUUGAUCAUGCUUUGGCCGUGGAAGAGGUUUAGUCAGCGGGUCUGCUACAUUCAGAUCCGUGUGCACUUUGCAUAUAUUUACGUCCUCUCCUUCGACGUAGUCGCGGAUGAGGUUGAAGCGUCGUUUGAUGUGUCUGGACUUCUUGUGAAACCGUGGUUCCUUUGCUAAGGCAAUGGCACCCGUGUUGUCACAGAACAAGGUUAUUGGAUUCCGUGCGCUUGGCACCACUCCAAGAUCCGUCAUGAACUGCUUCAUCCAGACACCCUCCUUAGCCGCCUCGGAGGCAGCCAUGUACUCCGCUUCACAUGUAGAAUCUGCUACGACGCUUUGCUUGGAACUGCACCAGCUUACCGCACCCCCAUUAAGAAUAAAUACGUAUCCGGUUUGCGACUUAGAGUCGUCCGGAUCUGUGUCAAAGCUUGCAUCGACGUAACCUUUUACGGUGAGCUCUUCGUCAUCUCCAUACACGAGAAACAUCUCCUUAGUCCUUUUCAGGUACUUCACGAUAUUCUUGACCGCUGUCCAGUGAUCCACUCCUGGAUUACUCUAGAACCUACCUGCCAUACUUAUGGCCAGGCUAACGUCCGGUCUAGUGCACAGUAUUGCAUACAUGAUAGAACCUAUGGCUGAAGCAUAGGGGACGGAGCGCAUAUGCUCUCUAUCUUCAUCAGUUGCUGGGCACUGAGUCUUACUCAAUCUCGUAGCUUGUAAAACUGGCAAGAACCCCUUCUUGGACUGUUCCAUUUUGAACCUCUUCAAAACUUUAUCAAGGUAUGUGCUUUGUGAAAGUCCUAUGAGGCGUUUUGAUCUAUCCCUAUAGAUCUUAAUGCCUAGAAUGUAAGAAGCUUCUCCUAGGUCCUUCAUAGAGAAACUUUUAUUCAAGUAAUCCUUUAUGCUCUCCAAAAACUCUACGUUGUUUCCAAUGAGCAAUAUGGCAUCCACAUAUAAUAUUAGAAACGCCACAGAGCUCCCACUCACUUUCUUGUAAAUACAAGAUUCCACAACCACUUGUAUAAACCCAAAUGCUUUUAUCACCUCAUCAAAGCGUUUGUUCCAACUCCGAGAUGCUUGCACCAGUCCAUAAAUGGAUCGCUGGAGCUUGCACACCUUGUUAGCAUUCUUAGGAUCGACAAAACCUUCGGGUUGCAUCAUAUACAAUUCUUCCUUAAGGAAACCGUUAAGGAACGCCGUUUUGACAUCCAUCUGCCAGAUUUCAUAAUCGAAAAAUGCAGCUAUUGCUAACAUGAUUCUAACGGACUUAAGCAUCGCUACGGGUGAGAAUGUCUCAUCGUAGUCAACUCCUUGAACUUGUGAAAAACCCUUUGCCACAAGUCGAGCUUUAUAAACGGUCACAUUGCCGUCAGCGUCCGUCUUCCUCUUAAAGAUCCAUUUGUUCUGAAUAGCCUUGCGACCCUCAGGCAGUACCUCCAAAGUCCAUACUUUGUUCUCAUACAUGGAUCCCAUCUCGGACUUCAUGGCUUCUAGCCAUUUGUUGGAAUCUGGGCCCACCAUUGCUUCUUCAUAAUUUGCAGGUUCAUUGUUGUCCAACAACAUGAUUGAUAAGACGGGAUUACCGUACCACUCUGGAGGAGCACGUGGUCUCGUCGACCUGCGUGGUUCGACAGAAACUUGAACCGGAGUUUCAUGAUCAUCAUCAUUAACUUCUUCCUCAACCGGCAUCGAAACGACAGAGGUUUCCCCUUGCCCUGCGCCACCAUCAAGAGGGAUGAGAGGUUCGACAACCUCGUCAAGUUCUAUCUUCCUCCCACUCAAUUCUCUCGAGAGAAACUCCUUCCCGAGAAAAGCUCUGUUUUUAGCAACAAACACUUUGCCCUCGGAUUUGAGAUAGAAGGUGUACCCAACUGUCUCCUUUGGGUAACCUAUGAAGAUGCACUUUUCCGCUUUGGGUUGCAGCUUUUCAGGGUGAAGCUUUUUGACAUAAGCAUCACAUCCCCAAACUUUAAGAAACGACAACUUUGGCCUUUUGCCAUACCACAGUUCGUAUGGUGUCGUCUCAACGGAUUUUGAUGGUGCCCUAGUUAAAGUGAAUGCAGCUGUUUCUAAUGCAUAACCCCAAAACGAUAACGGCAAAUCGGUAAGAGACAUCAUAGAUCGCACCAUCUCUAACAAAGUACGAUUACGACGUUCGGACACUCCAUUACGCUGUGGUGUUCCAGGCGGUGUCAACUGUGAAACAAUUCCACAUUGUCUUAAGUGAGCACCAAACUCGAAACUCAGAUAUUCACCCCCACGAUCAGACCGUAGGAACUUGAUCUUCUUGUUACGAUGUUUUUAAACUUCACUCUGAAAUUGCUUGAACUUUUCAAAUGUUUCAGACUUGUGCUUCAUUAAGUAGACAUAACGAUAUCUACUCAAAUCGUCAGUGAAGGUGAGAAAAUAACGACAUCCGCCGCGUGCCUCUACGCUCAUCGGACCACACACAUCGGUAUGUAUGAUUUCCAACAAGUCACUUGCACGCUCCAUUGUUCCGGAGAACGGAGUUUUAGUCAUCUUGCCCAUGAGGCAUGGUUCGCACGUGUCAAGUGAAUCAAAGUCAAGUGACUCCAAAAGUCCAUCGGCAUGGAGUUUCUUCAUGCGCUUUACACCAAUAUGACCUAAGCGGCAGUGCCACAAAAAUAUGGCGCUAUCAUUGUUAACUCUAACUCUUUUGGUCUCAAUGUUAUGUAUGUGUGUAUCGCUAUCAAGAUUCAGUAUGAACAAUCCUCUCACAUUGGGUGCAUGACCAUAAAAGUUGUUACUCAUAGAAAUAGAACAACCAUUAUUCUCGCACUUAAAAGAGUAACUGUCUCGCAAUAAACAAGAUCCAGAUAUAAUGUUCAUGCUCAACGCAGGCACUAAAUAACAAUGAUUGAAGUUCAUAACUAAUCCUGAUGGUAACUGAAGUGGAACUGUGCAACCUUGGAACCAUUUCCUACGCGCAUCGUCACUUCAUCUUUCACCAGCCUUCGUCUAUUCCGGAGUUCCUAUUUCGAGUUGCAAAUAUGAGCAACAGAACCGGUAUCGAAUACCUAGGCACUACUACAAGAGCCGGUUACGUACACAUCAAUAACAUGUAUAUCAAAUAUACCUGAUUUUUCUUUGGCCGCCUUCUUAUCUGCCGGAUACUUGGGGCAAUUGCGCUUCCAGUGACCCAUACCCUUGCAAUAGUAACACUCUGUUUUAGGCUUAGGUCCAGCUUUGGGUUUCUUCGUCGGAUUGGCAACAGGCUUGCCGCUCUUCUUUGAAUUUCCCUUCUUGCCUUUGUCGUUUCUCUUGAAACUAGUGGUUUUAUUCACCAUCAACACUUGAUGCUCUUGACGGAGUUUAGACUCUGCGACUUUCAGCAUCGCAAACAACUCGCCGGGUGACUUGUUCAUCCCUUGCCUGUUGUAGUUCAACACAAAGCCUUUAUAGCUUGGCGGCAGUGAUUGAAAGAUUCUGUCAGUGAUAGCCUCUUGCGGGAGUUCAAUCCUCAGCUCAGCUAGACGGUUUGAGUACCCAGACAUUUUGAGCACAUGUUCACUGACAUACGAGUUCUCCUCCAUCUUGCAAGCAUAGAAUUUGUUGGAGGUCUCAUACCUCUCGAUACGGGCGUUUUUCUGAAAGAUAAACUUCAACUCCUGGAACAUCUCAAAUGCUCCAUGACGCUCAAAGUGACGUUGAAGUCCCGGUUCUAAGCCAUACAAGACUGCACAUUGAACUACUGAGUAGUCCUCCUUACGUGCUAACCAAGCGUUCUUAACAUCCUGAUCAGCCGUAGCGGGUGGUUCAUCUGCUAGCGCAGCAUUAAGGACAUAAUCCUUCUUCCCAGCUUGUAAGAUUAGCUUAAGAUUACGAGCACAGUCUACAAAGUUGCUUCCAUCAACUUUCAACUUAGCUUUCUCUAGGAACGUAUUAAAAUUCAGGGUGACUUUCGCGUGAGCCAUGAUCUACAACACAAAUAUGUUCAAAGUGGACUUAGACUAUGUUCAAGAUAAUUAGAGUUUAACUUAAUCAAAUUAUUCGCUAAACUCCCACUCAAAAAGUACAUCUCUCUAGUCAUUUGAGUGGUUCAUGAUCCACUUACACCAGCUCAAGUCCGAUCAUCACGUGAGUUGAGUAUAGUUUCAGUGGUAAGCAUCCCUAUGCUAAUCAUAUCAUCUAUAUGAACCAUGAUCUACCUUUCGGUCUCAUGUGUUCCGAGGCCAUGUCCGCACAUGCUAGGCUCGUCAAGCUUAACCCGAGUGUUCCGCGUGCGCACCUGUUUUGCACCCGUUGUAUGUGAACGUUGAGUCUAUCACACCCGAUCAUCACGUGGUGUCUCAAAACGACGAACUGUAGCAACGGUGCACAGUCGGGGAGAACACAAUUUCGUUUUGAAAUUUUAGUGAGAGAUCACCUCAUAAUGCUACCAUCGUUCUAAGCAAAAUAAGGUGCAUAAAAGGAUUAACAUCACAUGCAAUUCAUAAGUGACAUGAUAUGGCCAUCAUCACGUGCUUCUUGAUCUCCAUCACCAAAGCACCAGCACGAUCUUCUUGUCACCGGCGCCACACCAUGAUCUCCAUCUACGUGUCGCCAUCGGGGUUGUCGUGCUACUCAUGCUAUUACUACUAAAGCUACAUCCUAGCAAAAUAGUAAACGCAUCUGCAAGCACAAACAUUAGUAUAAAGACAACCCUAUGGCUCCUGCCGGUUGCCGUACCAUCGACGUGCAAGUCGAUAUUAUCUAUUACAACAUGAUCAUCUCAUACAUCCAAUAUAUCACAUCACAUCGUUGGCCAUAUCACAUCACAAGCAUACCCUGCAAAAACAAGUUAGACGUCCUCUAAUUUUGUUGUUGCAUGUUUUACGUGGUGACCAUGGGUAUCUAGUAGGAUCGCAUCUUACUUACGCAAACACCACAACGGAGAAAUAUGAGUUGCUAUUUAACCUCAUCCAAGGACCUCCUCGGUCAAAUCCGAUUCAACUAAAGUUGGAGAGACCGACACUUGCCAAUCAUCUUUGAGAAACGGGGUUAUUCGUAGCGAUGAAACCAGUCUCUCGUAAGCGUACGAGUAAUGUCGGUCCAAGCCGCUUCAAUCCAACAAUACCGCGGAAUCAAGAAAAGACUAAGGAGGGCAGCAAAACGCACAUCACCACCCACAAAAACUUUUGUGUUCUACUCGAGAAGACAUCUACGCAUGAACCUAGCUCUGAUACCACUGUUGGGGAACGUCGCAUUGGAAACAAAAAAAUUCCUACGCGCACGAAGACCUAUCAUGGUGAUGUCCAUCUACGAGAGGGGAUGAGUGAUCUGCGUAACCUUGUAGACCGUACAGCAGAAGCUUUAGUGAUCGCGGUUGAUGUAGUGGAACGUCCUCACGUCCCUCGAUCCGCCCCGCAAACUAUCCCGCGAUCAGUCCCACGAUCUAGUGCCGAACGGACGGCACCUCCGCGUUCAGCACACGUACAGCUCGACGAUGAUCUCGGCCUUCUUGAUCCAGCAAGACAUACGGAGAGGUAGAAUAGUUAUCCUGCAGCGUGACGGUGCUCCGGAGGUUGGUGAUGAUCUCGUCUCAGCAAGGCUCCGCCCGAGCUCCGCAGAAACGCGAUCUAGAGGAAAAACCGUGGAGGUAUGUGGUCGGGCUGCCGUGGAAAAGUCGUCUCAAAUCAGCCCUAAAACCUCCGUAUAUAUAGGUGGGAGAGGGGGGACCUUGCCUUGGGGCUCAAGGAGCCCCAAGGGGGUCGGCCGAGCCAAAGGGGGGAAGGACUCCCCCCCCCAAACCGAGUCCUACAUAGUUUGGUGGGUGGAGUCCUUCUUUCCUUUCCCACCUCCUCCUUUUUUUUCUUUUCUCUUUGAUUUUUCUUCCAAUGCGCAUAGGGCCCUUUUGGGCUGUCCCACCAUCCCACUAAGGGCUGAUGCGCCACCCUCAAGGCCUAUGGGCUUCCCCGGGGUGGGUUGCCCCCCCCCCCGGUGAACUCCUGGAUCCCAUUCGUCAUUCCCGGUACAUUCCCGGUAACUCCGAAAACCUUCCGGUAAUCAAAUGAGGUCAUCCUAUUUAUCAAUCUUCGUUUCCGGACUAUUCCGGAAACCCUCGUGACGUCCGUGAUAUCAUCCGGGACUCCGAACAAUAUUCGGUAACCAACCAUAUAACUCAAAUAUGCAUAAAACAACGUCGAACCUUAAGUGUGCAGACCCUGCGGGUUCGAGAACUAUGUAGACAUGACCCGAGAGACUCCUCGGUCAAUAUCCAAUAGCGGGUCCUGGAUGCCCAUAUUAGAUCCUACACAUUCUACGAAAAUAUUAUCGUUUGAACCUCAGUGUCAAGGAUUCAUAUAAUCCCGUAUGUCAUUCCCUUUGUCCUUCGGUAUGUUACUUGCCCGAGAUUCGAUCGUCAGUAUCCGCAUACCUAUUUCAACCUCGUUUACCGGCAAGUCUCUUUACUCGUUCCGUAAUACAAGAUCCCGCAACUUACACUAAGUUACAUUGCUUUCAAGGCUUGUGUGUGAUGUUGUAUUACCGAGUGGGCCCCGAGAUACCUCUACGUCACACGGAGUGACAAAUCCCAGUCUUGAUCCAUACUUACUCAACGAACACCUUCAGAGAUACCUGUAGAGCAUGUUUAUAGUCACCCAGUUACGUUGUGACGUUUGAUACACACAAAGUAUUCCUCUGGUGUUAGUGAGUUAUAUGAUCGCAUGGUCAUAGGAACAAAUACUUGACACGUAGAAAACAGUAGCAACAAAAUGACACGAUCAACAUGCUACGUAUAUUAGUUUGGGUCUAGUCCAUCACGUGAUUCUCCUAAUGACGUGAUCCAGUUAUCAAGCAACAACACCUUGUUCAUAAUCAGAAGACACUGACUAUCUUUGAUCAGCUGGCUAGCCAACUAGAGGCUUGCUGGGGACAUUGUUUUGUCUAUGUAUCCACACAUGUAAAUGAGUCUUCAUUCAAUACAAUUAUAGCAUGGAUAAUAAACGAUUAUCUUGAUACAGGAAUUAUAAUAACAACUAUAUUUAUUAUUGCCUCUAGGGCAUAAUUCCAACCGAUCGUGGGGGUGAAUAUCUGAGUUUUGAGUUUGGUGCUCACUUGAGACAAUGUGGAAUUGUUUCACAAUUGACACCGCCUGGAACACCACAGCGUAAUGGUGUGUCCGAACGUCGUAAUCCUACUUUAUUAGAGAUGGUGCGAUCUAUGAUGUCUCUUACCAAUUUGCCAUUAUCGUUUUGGGCACCAUCAAAAUCCGUUGAGAGGACACUAUACGAACUGUGGUAUGGCAAAAGACCAAAGUUGUCGUUUCUUAAAGUUUGGGGAUGUGAUGCUUAUGUCUAAAAGCUUUAGCCUCAAAAGCUGGAACACAAAGCGGAAAAGUGCGUCUUCAUAGGUUACCCAAAAGAGACAGUUGGGUAUACCUUCUAUCUCAAAUCCGAGGGAAAAGUGUUUCUUGCUAAAAACGGAGAUUUUCUUGAGAAGGAGUUUCUCUCGAAAGAAUUGAGUGGGAGGAAGAUAGAACUUGAUGAGGUUGUCGAACCUCUAAUCCCUCUAGAUGGUCGUGCAAAGCAAGGGGAAACCCGUGUCAUUGCGACGCCGGUUGAGGAGGAAGUUGAUGAUGAUGAUCAUGAAACUUUGGACAAAGUUCCUAUCGGACCUUGGAGGUCGACAAGAUCACGUACUGCUCCUGAGUGGUACGGUAAUCCUGUCUUAUCAAUUAUGUUGUUAAACAACAAUGAACCUGUGAAUUAUGAAGAAGCAAUGGUGGGCCCGGAUUCCAACAAAUUACUGGAGGCCAUGAAGUCCGAGAUAUGAUCCAUGUAUGAGAACAAAGUGUGGACUUUGGAAGUACUACCUAAAGGCCGCAAGGCUAUUCAGAACAAAUGGAUCUUUAACAAGAAGAUGGACGCAUACGGUAAUGUGACCAUUUAUAAAGCUCGACUUGUUGCAAAGGGUUUUUCACAAGUUUAAGGAGUUGACUAAGAUCAGGCGUUCUCACUGGUAGCGCAGCUUAUGUCCGUCCGAAUCAUGUCAGCAAUAGCUGCAUCUUUUGAUUAUGAAAUCUAGCAGAUGGAUGUCAAAACGAUGUUCCUUAACGGUUUUCUUAAGGAAGAAUUGUAUAUGAUGCAACCCGAAGGUUUUGUCGAUCCAAAGAAUGCUAAAAAGUGUGCAAGCUCCAGCAAUCCAUUUAUGGACUGGUGCAAGCAUCUCGGAAUUGGAAUAAGCGCUUUGAUGAGGUGAUCAAAGCAUUUGGGUUUAUACAAGUGGUUGGAGAAUCUUGUAUUUACGAGAAAGUGAGUGGGAGCACUGUGGCGUUUCUAAUAUUAUAUGUGGAUGACAUAUUGCUGAUUGGAAACAAUGUGGAGCUUUUGGAGAGCAUAAAGGAUUUCAUGAAUAAAAGUUUCUCUAUGAAGGACCUAGGAGAAGCUGCUUACAUUCUAGGCAUUAAAAUCUAUAGGGAUAGAUCGAGACGCCUGAUAGGAAUUUCACAAAGCACAUACCUUGAUAAAGUUUUGAAGAAGUUCAAAAUGGAUCAGUCCAAGAAAGGGUUCUUGCCAGUAUUACAAGGUAUAAAAUUGAGUAAGACUCAGUGCCCAGCAACUGCGGAAGAUAGAGAACAAAUGAGUUUUGUCCCCUACGCUUCAGCCGUAGGUUUUAUCAUGUAUGCAAUGAUGUGCACUAAACCAGACGUCAGCUUGGCCAUAUGUAUGACAAGCAGGUUUCAGAGUAAUCUAGGAGUGGAUGACUGGACGGCGGUCAAGAAUAUUCUGAAGAACCUGAAAAGGACUAAGGAAAUGUUUCUCGUUUAUGGAGGUGACAAAGAGCUCGUCACAAAAGGUUACGUCGAUGCAAGUUUUGACACCGAUCCGGAUGACUCUAAGUCGCAAACCGGAUAAGUAUUUAUUCUUAAUGGGGUUGCAGUAAGCUGGUGCAGUUCCAAGCAGAGCAUCAUAGCAGAUUCUACAUGUGAAGUGGAGUACAUGGCUGCCUCGGAGGCAACAAAGGAGGGUGUCUGGAUGAAGCAGUUCAUGACAGAUCUUGGAGUUGUGCCGAGCGCACUAAAUCCAAUAACUCUGUUUUGUGACAACACUGGUGCCAUUGCCUUAGAAAAGGAACCAAGGUUUCAAAAGAAGACCAGACGCAUCAAACGACGCUUCAACCUCAUCCGCGACUACGUCGAAGGAGAGGACGUGAAUAUUUGCAAAGUGCAACGAAUCUGAAUAUAGCAGACCCACUGACUAAACCUCUUCCACGGGCAAAACAUGAUCAACACCAGAACUGUAUGGGUGUUCGAUUUAUUACAAUGUAAAUCGCAUGGCGAUGUGAGGACCAGAUUAUUGACUCUAGUGCAAGUGGGAGACUGCUGGAAAUAUUCCCUAGAGGCAAUGAUAAAUAGUUAUUAUUAUAUUUCUUGUUUAAAGAGAAUCGUUUAUUAUCCAUGCUAUAAUUGUAUUGAAUGAAAACAUAGAGACAUGUCUGGAUACAUAGACAAAACAAUGUCCCUAGCAAGCCUCUAGUUGGCUAGCUAGUUGAUUAAUGAUAGUCAAGGUUUUCUGGCUAUAUGCAAGUGUUGUCACUUGAUAACUGGAUCACGUCAUUAGGACAAUCAUGUGAUGGACUAGACCCAAACUAUGAACGUAGCAUAUUGAUCGUGUCGUUUUAUUGCUAUUGUUUUCUGCGUGUCAAGUAUUUGUUCCUAUGACCAUGAGAUCAUAUAACUCACUGGCACCGGAGGUAUACCUUGUGUGCAUCAAACAUCACAAUGUAACUGGGUGGCUUUAAAGGUGAUCUACAGGUAUCUCCGAAGGUGCCCGUUGAGUUAGUAUGGAUCAAGACUGGGAUUUGUAACUCCAUGUGAGGGAGAGGUAUCUCGAGGCCCACUCGGUAAUACAACAUCACGCACAAGCCUUGCAAGCAAUGUGGCUAAGUAUAAGUCACGGGAUCUUGUAUUACUGAACGAGUAAAGAGACAUGCAGUAAUGAGAUUGAAAUAGGUAUGCGGAUACCGACGAUCAAAUCUCGGGCAAGUAACAUACCAAAGGACAAAGGGAAUGACAUACGUGAUUAUAUGAAACCUUGACACUGAGGUUCAACCGAUAAGAACUUCGGAGAAUAUGUAGGAUCCAAUAUGGGAAUCUAGGUCCCGCUAUUGGAUGUUGACCGAGGAGUGCCUUGGGGCAUGUCUACAUAGUUCUCGAACCCGCAGGGUGUGCACACUUAAGGUUCGAAGACGUUUUAGUAUAGUUGAGUUAUAUGUGUGGUUACCGGAUGUUGUUUGGAGUACCGGAUGAGAUCACGGGCAUAACAAGGGUUUCCGAAAUGGUCCGGAAACGAAGAUUGAUAUAUAGGAUGUUUCAUUUGGUCAUCGGAAAGUUUUGGGCAAUUCCGGCAGUAUAUCGGGAGUGACGAAUGGGUUCCAGGAAUUCAUCGGGAGGGGCCCACCGACCCGGGAGUGAGGCCAAGGCACUAGAGUGCCUCCACAAGUCCUUAGUGGCUGGUGUUGUCAGCCCAAAGGUCCCAUGGUGCCACAUAAGAAAAUACCAAAGGAAAAUAAAAGAAAAAGGGAAAGAGGGAGGUGGGAAGGAAGAGGAGGACUCCUCCUUCCCCAAACCGAAUUGGAGGAUGAGUCCUCCUCUUCCUAGUGCCGGCGCACCCUUGAGGGCCUUGUCCCUCAAGGCUAGCCCUCCCCCUCCCUCCUAUAUAUAGUGGUGUUUUAGGGCUGAUUUGAGACAAGUUUUUCCACGUGCAACUCAACCCUAGACCACAUAGUUCUACCUCUAGAUCAAAUUUCAGCGGAGCUCGGGCGGAGCCCUGCGGGAGUAGAUCAUCACAACCACCGGCGUGCGUCACGCUACUGGAAAACUCAUCUACUUCUCCGUCUUGCUUGCUGGUUCAAGAAGGCCGAGAUCAUCGUCGAGUUGUACGUGUGCUGAACGCGGAGGUGUCGUCCAUUCAGCGCUAGAUCGGAACGGACCGUGGGACGGAUCGCGGGACGGUUCGAGGGACGUGAAGACGUUCCACUACAACAAUUGUGUUUCUUAACGCUUCCUGUUGUGCCAUCUACAAGGGUACCUAGAUCCAAAUCUCAUCUCGUAGAUGGACAUCACCAUGAUAGGUCUUCGUGUGCGUAGGAAUUUUUUUGUUUCCCAUGCAACGUUCCCCAACACCUUCUUCCUCCUCCGUAGAACAGCUCGAGGAGCACAUUGUAGCAUUAUUGGUGCCUUAUACAUCCCUGCAGGAUAAGGGGUGUUAUCUUCACAGAGAGCCCCGAACCUGGGUACAUCGUGUGUUCCAUGCUUGUACCAACCCCGUCCCCAGCACCCGCCAAUGUCACUUCGGUUCCCACCAUCUUUAGCCUACCCAUGGAAUAUGCUGUGAGUAAACACAGACAAAAGGUAUUUUUAAAGUCUCAUUAAUAGGAGCUAAAAAUACCCAACCUAGGUAUUUAAUUAAUGUUGUGCAUAAAAGUCUAUACAAAAAUUUACACAACAACACUAAUAAACUCUACAUAUUUUCAGAGGAAUUAUGGUGGAAAAAUAUUUCAAUUUCAUUAAAUAUUUUAUCCUGUACAAAUAAUAUAAGACUCUAGAUUUAAAAAUAAAGAAAAGGGGUUCAACCCUGGCGCGGCUCGGCCAGCAGCUGGCCGGCCCAACCGGCCAACCGGCCAGCUAACCAACCAGCUAGCCCACGUGUGCGCGCCGUCAGGUUUAAACCUGACGAGCUGCCCCCUACGGACAGCGACAGAGAGGGGGAGAGACUGGCCACCGACAGGUGGGACCCUCCUGUCGGGGUCGUCUUCCACCUCCAUACAGAGAGGAGGGGAGGCACGGCGGCGGCGGCUUCGACAUCCUCCUGGCCAUGUGAGCACAGAAAUGGGCUCGUGGCGUCUCUGCCUAACUAGUAGGGGUUGAGGGACCGACGGGGAGGACCUGUGUCACUGGCGACAACGAGACCGCGGCGGAGGAGUUUCGUGUUGCGGUGGAGAAGGGUGUUCCGAGCGGGGAGAAGCACGGGGGAGUGGUGGAGGAGGUUCCUAAGCUUGUUGUGGUCACGUGGGAAGUGAGAGGAGCUCGAGAGCGAGCCUUUAGCCCGAGAUUCAUGAAGCUUUGACGUGGCGGCACCUUGGUCGAUCUCGAGCUCAGGGGCUCUCCUUGCUCAAGUGGGGGUGCUAGGGGAUCGAUCGAAGGUUGGGAGGAGAGGAAUGAGGUGCUAGAACGACGGGGGAGCCUAAUUAGAGGCUGGCUACGGGGAACUGAGAGGGGGAGCGCCGAUGGUUUUCGCCACGGCUGCAGGAGAGGGAGAGAGGGCUCGGGGCCUAAACCACGGUUUGUGAAUGUGGUUUAGGACUCCACGGAUGCAACGGGGCGAGCGGGGGUAGCUGUGCAGGCGUGCUGCGGGCCCGCGCCCUCCUAAACGAAUCGGGCGGGCGCGGGCAUGCGUCGUCAGAGUUAGUGGAGAGGGGAAGAAAGGGUCCCUAAGGCUGCCCUGAGUGGGGUCAUUGUUAGGGGCGAGGUGAGACAUCGAGGGGAGGUGAGAACCGGCCGGGGCUAGCCUCCCUAGCCUCGGGUGUGCCCUUUAGCACGUCCAGAGCGCAGUUUUGUCAUGCCACGGCAUGCUGGCACGCUUUGGCCUUGUCUGGCAUGCUUGUGGGGUGGGUUAGAUGCCCCUCGGUUGCUAGGAUCCGAGAAGAUAAAUGCUGGUCAAAGGGAGGUGCUUAAAGAGGUUGUGCCAGCAUUGAACCAGUACCUACAUUGAGGUUUUUGUCUUACUUACUUUGAACCAAGGAGGGGCCACUCGUCUGCAGUUGAGGAGUGGUGAUGGAAGUCUGAGCUAGGAGUUUGGGGAGUAGGGAGUGGGUGUAGAGAGUGCUGGAUGUUGUUUGACCAAUCUGGCUGAAGGUGUUUGAUCUGUGCUUAGGGCAGCUAACCUUUACCAAUGAGGCUGAAAGUUAACACGAUCGAGUUUAAGGCAAUAUUAGGUUGCUCUACCAAAUUUGAGCUCCAUUGGACAAGUUUGGCAAUGCAAACUUGAAAACACCCCCAAAUGGAAAGUUUUGCCUUAUUAAGAGGAAAUGUGAGGAAAUUAAUCCCCACAAAAUUAAUUCUCGGUAGGGUCUCCUCAUUUGGGGUAUUGAGCACUCCUGCAAAGUUUUAGGCCAUUUGGACAAACUUUGUAAUGUAGAGUUGCUUCAACUUAAAUCUAGAGUGGAAGGGUUUUAGGAUUAUUUGGUGAACCAAACCACCUUGGAAUGAGGUGAAACUUGGAAUGAUCACCAAAUAUAGCUUGCGGAAGAUGCUAGAAUUUUGUGGCAAUUUAUUGAGAAUACUUCCUUUGGAAAUAUUUCAGAAGGUCAAAACAGACAGAAUAGGUUUUAAAAGGUUUCCUCACAUAUUUUGAAUAUAAAUAGCGGUUAGAAAUCUUUCAUAUGGAAAAUAUAUGUCCUUGGAGUAUCUCUAAAUUUGCUCAAAAUUUUCUAAGGUAGAAAAGUAAUUUUCCACUCGGAAAUAUCAUUUCUCGCAUCACCAAUGGACAUGUAAAUAAAAUAGGACGCUAGUUUAUAAAAUAAUUAUUUUAUGAUUUUGGAGAGUUAUAAUAGUUCUGGAAUUAGAAUACAAUCUUUGGGUGAAGGUACCCCCUUGAAAUCAGGGACUUGUAGUGCAAACCCCAAAGCAAGGUUUUGAAUUAACAAAAAUGAGAAAAAGGACUUUUCAUGGAAAUAUUAUGUUAUAAAAAUUAUUUUUACAUCCAUACACUCAAGAAUACAUACAAUCAAUGACAAUCAGGGCACUCACAGCAUUUGUUUAAAAAGUUUUAAUUAUAUCCAAAUUUGAAAAGACUACAGUUGAGGCAAAGUGAAAACAGGGUGUGACAACUUCGUUAUCUAUUACGACGCCUCGCGACUUGGAUUAGGUUGCAUUCUCAUGCAGGAUCGUCAUGUGAUUGCAUACGCAUCUCGCCAGUUGCAUCCACAUGAGGAUAAUUAUCCAACAAAUGAUAUGGAGCUUGCAUCUGUACUUCACACACUGAAAACGUGGCAACAUUACUUUCUGGGUAAUCGUUGCGAAACUUACAGCGAUCACCAAAGUCUGAAAUAUAUCUUCACCCAACCGGAUUUGAAUCUCGGGCGAAGACGUUGGGCCGAGUUGAUUAUAGAUUAUGACUUAGUAAUAACUUACACCCUGGGGAAAGCCAAUGUCAUGGUUGAUGCACUAAGUCAUAAGUCUUAUUGUAACAAUUUAAUGUUACAAAAAAGUCAACCACUUCUCCAUGACGAAUUUCAAAAGCAAUAGCUUCACUUUGUUCCUGAAGGAUUUCCUUCCACCUUGGUGGCGAAAUCUACCCUUUCGGAUCAAAUUAUAGACGCAUAGAAGCAAGAUAUGGUAAUUUUGCGAAUCAAGAAAAACAUCAAGUGUGGAUCUGCUAGUUGUUUUUCAAUGAAUGAUCAAAGUGUUGUCUUCUUCGAGAAUCGAUUGGUGGUUCCCAAGAAUCAACAUUUCGGAGUCUCAUCAGUUUCCUCUCACGAUUCAUCCUGUUAGUACCAACAUGUAUCAGGACCUACGCUAGAGGUUCUGGUGGACUAGGAUGAAGAGAGAAAUUGACCGGUUCGUUGCAAACUGUGACGUUUCCCAUAGUGUUAAAGUAGAACAUCAAAGGCGUGCUCGCACCCUUCAACCUUUAGCUAUUCCUGAAUGGAAAUGUGAUAAAGUCGGCAUGGAUUUCAUCAUCGGAUUUCCCAAGACCAAGAAAGGGAAUAAUGGUAUUUUGUAGUCAUUGUCCGUCUUUCCAAAGUGGCUCAUUUUCUUCGUGUUCGAGAUAGUAUAAUAUCUAGCCAUGUGGCGGAGUUAUAUAUUUCCCUAAUAGUGUCUCUUCAUGGUAUUCCUUUGGAGAUUAACUCAGAUCGUGAAAGUUUCUUUACUUCUCCUUUCUGGGAAAGCUUCCAAAAUUCUAUGGGGACUCAUAUCUCCUUUAGCACUACUUUCCAUCCUCAGUGAAGUGGUCAAGUAAAACGAGUUAAUCAAUUCUUGAAAGAUAUGUUGAGUUCUUGUGUUAUAUCUUUCACCAUCAAUUGGGAGAAAUACCUUCCGUUCGCCAAAUUUUCUUAUAACAGUAGUUAUCAAUCAAGCUGGGGCAAGGCUCCUUUUGAAGUUCUGUAUGGACGAAGGUGUCUAACACCUCUUAACUGGUCAGAAACUAGAGAGAUUCAACUCUUUGGUCCGGAUAUGAUUCAAGAGGCAAAAGCGAAAGUCCGCAAUAUUCGUGAAAAGUUGAUAACAGCCCAAUCUUGUCAAAAGAGACAAUAUGAUCGCCAUCGUGAGGGUGUGACUUUUGAAGUUGUCACGAUCGGUGUCCAAAUAAAAUAGUGAAUUGGAAAUCAGCCAUGCGCGUCCCCACUGAAGAAAAAUAUUCCUCACUGACAAACUCAUCUUGAUACAAAAAACCAGUAGUACUUAAUACUAUACAAGUAGAGCAAGGGUUGCUCUACAAUUAUUGCAACAUAUCCAUGUCUCAAGUAAAUGGAAUGUUACAGUGGUAUUAGGCUGACUCUACUGCACGUAAUAAAAGGGCCACGUCACAUCAGAGUAAUGUGACAUGAUGAGUACUACUACGCGUCAAGAGUGAGAGUGAGACUCGGCGUUUUAUUCGAUGUGGCGGAAGCGGUGGGAUAAUACAACAGUGGACUCCAGGAUCGCAAGACUGACUGCGAGUCCUCUAGACAUCAGACUCCCUAUCAAACUCUUCAUCCAUGAGGUCUCCUUCAUCCAUAUCUGGCCACAUCAACAAGCCAGCGAGUACUCCGAAAAGUACUCGCAAACAGUUUGCACAAAAGAUGAGAUGCAUGGAAUUGGUUAUUAAUAAGCAUUGUUCAUUAUCAUGUUAUAUUAAAAAUCUAAUUGCUGAAAAAUAAAUAAUGUUAGUGGAUAAAUCAGGCGGUAAUCCUCCCGAGAUUUCCUCAACAGAAAGAAAAAUGCACCGAUUGGGUGUCUGAAGCGAUGCCUUGAAAGGUUAACACGGGUUAGUAAAACCACCAUCGGGCGUCUGAGCGACACCACAUACAGGGCAUAACAUAAAAGAAAAAUAAAUGACAAGCCACAAACGGUCGUCUUAGCGACACCACAGAAAGGGCCUAAUAAAUAAAUAACAAGCCGCAGUCGGGGGUCUUAGCGACACCGCAGAAAGGGCAUAAUAAAUAACUAACAAGCCGCGGUCGGACGUCUUAGCGACACCAGAGAAAGGGAAUAAUAAAUAAAUAACAAGCCGCAGUCGGGCGUCUUAGCGACACCACAGAAAGGGCAUAAUAAUUAAAUAACAAGAAGUAUCCGGGUGGUACAACCAACCUUCAGGAUAAUUCUUGAUGCGAACAUAAUAAAUAAAUAACAAGAAGUAUCCGGGUGGUACAACCAACCUUCACGAUAAUUCUUGAUCCAAACACAAUAAAUAAAUAACAAGAAGUAUCCGGGUGGUACAACCAACCUUCAAGAUAAUUCUUGAACCAAUAAAAAUAUUUGAUCAUGUUCCACAUUAUAAUACGAUUUUCCACAAUUAUUGUUAUUACCAUCACUUACUCGAAAGACCGACUCUAGGACCGACACUUGACUCGUCAAACAACGUCCUUGACCGGGGACACGACUACUCGGAUAGUUUUGACUCUGUAGAGGGUGUACUCUUUACCCAUAGCUCACGGGUUUCGAUAGUCAUCAUCACAAAUCCCAUGUACGACAUUUUAGAAGCGGACACUCAAAACUAGCACACACCUAUUUUACCUUCACGAAGCCCGGCUUCGCCCGGACUACGCUGCCAAGGCAAAACCAUAAGACGGGGAGGCUCCGACCUCGACUAGCAUGGGAUCCAAAUUUAUACCGCGCGCUCACGGGGAGUACCCUCCCUUCUGGUCCCAGACCGUAAACACCCAUGCCCCCUGACUAGAUGACUAGAUUUAUCCCAGGGCCAUGGAUACCUUCGUACCGGCCCCUCUACUUGGUGUGUGACUGAUAAUAGGUCUACUACUGACUUUACCGAAUCCAUUAUCCAGGAAACUGUGGUAGCACGUUAUAGAAGUAUGACACGGACACGACUCGAUCUAGGUCGAUACUGGAGUUUAACCAAGUUUUACCGGCACCAUCGUGCACAUGUCAUGAUCAGGCCAUAACCUAUCAUGUUCCACGAGACUAGGUUAUUCCACGACCUCUCAUGAUGAUCACAUGCCAUCACCAUGUUUUACCAUUGUUAAAAUACAAGUAGCAUGUAUGAAAUAUGCAAGGUGAUGAAUAUUAAAUAUGAGUUAGGUUAGCAAACAGCACAUCAAGAGUUCAAACAUGCUUGUCUGGUACCACGUAGUCGGGAUCAAGCUCGAUGCAGUUAACGUUGGUGUUCUUUGUGUGGGAAUCUAUGGUAUAAAGCAAACAAUGAUGUAAGUGGUACUGCUUAGCUACUGGUUCCAAAAUAUUUCUAGAAAAAUCUUACAACAAACGAGGCAUUAUAAGGAUCAUUUUGCAAAAAGAAUCACAAAAAAAUGAGUUGUGGAUCAAAAGUUAUAUCUAAAACAGGUUCAGGGACUAAUCUAUAAUAAGAAUAAAUAGAAACAGGGACUAGCUUGAGAUAAGUCAAAGAGCCCGAAGGGAAAGGCGUUUCCCCGAAAGGAAAACAACUUCAGAUAGAAUAAGUUUUCGUCGAAAACAUUUCACAGGAGGGGGAGACACUGAAAAGAGGGCCCCCCUGUCAGGUUCGAAGGCUUCACCGGCACCAGAACCACACGGUGGUCGUCGACGAUGAUAGGAGGGAGGAGAGGGCAGGCUGAGGUUGCGGCUGGCAUCACCUUCGACCCUCCCAAAUGGUGGAGGUGGUUUUGGUCAAGGGGGAAGCUCCACGUCGACGGCAGCAGGACUCCGGCGGACGGCAGCUCUGGUGAGGUUGCGAUUUGACGAUAGAGAACCUCCUGCGAUCGAUUGAGCGAAGGCUAACAAGGGGAGGAGCUCCUGGACGCAAACGAAGGACUCUGGAGGUCCUACCAUAGCUUACACAGCUUAGGAAUGGCCAGAUCCCGAAGCAGAUAGGGGCAAACGGAGUUGGGGAAGAAGGCCCCUCGACGACCCCUUCCUGGUUCGGCUGGUGUUGUGGGGUGGAGAUGAGAUGUGGAGAGGUGCGGGAUGAAGUCCGAAGCUCACGGGAGGUGUUCUAUAUAUAGGCGCCACGGGAGGAGCUUCGGCAUUAACUCGGGCGAGCGAUUCCAGCAAAGCAGGGGCUCGAACAGGUGAUUAGGUGGUGCAGGUCGUACCUAACCACUCUGGGGAACUCAUUUUUGACCAGAGACGAGCUGGUCAUCGAUGCAGGAAGUGGGGCGAUGACGCGGCUCUCGCCGUGCGUUGCGGCGGUAGAAAACGCGCUCUGUGUAGGCCGGAGCAUGGCGACGGUUCUUGCGGCGUGCAUUUGCGAUGGAGGACAGGCGGAUGCUGCAGAGGCGUUGGACGGUGCUGGACGGCACGGGGCUGUAGCAGAGGAGGGGUUUUGGUUGAUGCAGGGCCGCUGGUGGAGCUUGGCCAACUCUGGCAGCUUGCCACCAACACUAGGAUGUGUCCAAACUUCGAGCGGCGCACUGGAUAAGCUUGGGCAUAGGAUCGAGGGCGCAUGCGAUGGUACUAGCGAGAUUGACAAGGGAGAGAGCUGCUGCUCUGACUAAAGCUUGUCUGAAGAAUAAAUUCAGACAUGUGCAGUUUCAGAGUGUAGGUGAGGUGUUUGUUGAAUUGAAAGAGGCAGUUGUUGAAUUGGUUUCGAGCUGAAAUUUUUUGGGAAGCAUUCUCAUUGGGUGACAAGGCAUUGCAGAAAUUGUCAUAAUUUUUGGAGAAGUUUAAGACAGGUUUCAAAUGAAAAUCAGAUUCUAUGGUCAAACUUCAGUCAAUUAGAAUUUGAAAAUUUUAAACUUGGGUAUUCAGAGUUUUUGAUGGAAAUGAGUGGAGAUACUAAGGGCUACAAAUUGCAAGAGUUUAGGGUCAAGACUCCAAAGUAAUAAAAGAGUUCCUUUGUAAAAUGGCAGGGGUUCAAAAUGAUUAAAGAAAUUCCCUUUUUAUCAAAAUAAAAUAUGACGGGUGAUCCAUCCCUUCUAAAGUUUUGGAAAACAUUCAAAAUAAAACUUUAGGGCUAGGGAAGGUGUAAAAAGAUUUAAAACAAAAUGGUGAUGAGUAAACCUUUUUGAAAGAAAGAAUAGAAGGUUUAUGGAAUAAUUUCCAAAGUUGCAAAAGAAGAUUAUCCUUCUAACCAAUUCAUUUUGAGAAAGGGCUAAAAGAACAUCUUCUAAAACUUGUUGGUCGAGAAUGAAGGCUCCAAAAGGUUUUCUCAAGAAGGUUUGCAAGAGGGCAUCAAAGUUUUUGUCAAGCCAAAAAUUUAAAAAUCCAAGGAAAUCAAAAUUUAAAGAAAUCUUGGGUGUUAUAGAAGUUGACGAGAAGUCUUACCUUCGGGUUACACCUUUGAAGGCUACCCAUUGAUUCGGUAUCAAGGGCAAACUACCUCCUUGUUAUAUUGGUCCCUUUUACAUUCGUGCCAAACGAGGAGAGGUUGCCUACCAGUUGGAACUCCCUCUGCAUCUUUCCAAGGAUCAUGAUGUUUUCGACGUCUCGCAACUUAGGCGUUGCUGCCCGGAUCCUGUACGUGAAGUGGGCCACGAAACGCUUGAUCUCCAAGAUAACCUUUCAUAUCGAGAAUACCCUGUUUGUAUUCUUGAUCAAGCUGAGUGCACCAGUCGACAUCGAAACAUCAAGUUUCUCAACGUUCAGUGGUCAAAUCAUUCUAAAAAAUAAGCAACCUGGGAAAGGGAGGACCGUCUCCGCCUAGAGUGCACCGCGCUGUUCCCGACGACUUCUAAAUCUCGGGACAAGAUUCUUUUGAGUGAGGGUGAGUUGUGACAUCCCUAGUAUUUCCACUUGCAUUGUGCUAGCAUGUGUGUUGCAUCAUGUUUAAAUUUUGCUAAACUUGAAAUGGGGACUAACAAACCCUAGCACUUCAUCUAAUAAAACAAUCCAAAAUAGUUGUGAUUUUCAAUGAACCCAAAAUGGCUUUCAAAAAUGUUCACAAUGUCACAUAAAUGUUGGCAACAACAUAUCACAGGUGAAUUGUACUUCCGUAACAACUUUGGUAUUUUAAAUAAUCCUCAGAACCUACUGAAAAUGUCAAAUAAAAGGACUACAAUUAUUUUAGUUGUUUCAAAAAUGUUGAAACUUUUUGUGAAGCUUGCUAAUAUUCCAAUAAUACGCCAUAAUUAUUUUCAGGGUUUUUGAAAUUAGAGUAGUUCCCCAAAAAAUAAAAUAGAAGCUAUUAAAUAGAAAAAUAAACAAAAAUAGGAAAGAGAGAGAAAAAACUUACCUGGCGGUCACCUGUAGCCGGCCCAGCCCAGCCCACUAGGGGCAAGGACGUCUUCUACCUCUUGCGGGUAGGCACAGGAGGAGAUGGCUGCCGCGCGCGCUGCCACCGACACACAGCUGCUUGCCUGCCUGGUCUCUCGGGAGGAAGUUGUGCCAAUCCAUUCCUCCUCCCAUUCGCCCCCGUUCUCUUCCUCCUCGCCCCUGCUCGCCAUGGCCGCCCACAGCCGAAGCUCGCCGCCGUCGCUAGCGUAGCUCAUCCCCCCUCGCUCCGAGCAGCCCAUUAGCUCCACCUUCAGCUACUCUGCUCUCCGCCCAAGCAAUCGACGCGAGACGCCUCCAGUCGACAACCCCGAGCUCAUCUUCACCUCCGUCCGUACUAGACUGUCGUCGCCGAUUCGCUGUCUCCAGGCCGUCCCCGAGAAAGUUACCAAUGUCGUCGUCAUCACUGUGAGCCCCUGGAUCGAUUCCCCAUCUCCCGAGGUCGAUCUCGAGUUGUAGGCUCGGAUUGCUUCUAGCCCGAGGAGCUCCACUGCACGGACCUCGAUGCUAGCGAUGCUCCGGUGACUCUCAGGUCCAACCAAUGCCCCCGUGGAGUUCCUGUGCUCGUGUAGAUGUCGUGGGUGGCCCUAGGUUGGUAACCCACCCCUAAUGGCAUCGGCUCUGAGCUCAUCCGAGCUCCGGCUAAUGCAUGGGUUGUCGCCGACGAGUAUUCUAGCACCCCCACAACCAACUAACCUUGUAGAUGGAUGCGACCCAGUGCGUGCAUCAUUUUGGUAGUUUCUGCGCGUCCAUCCACCACGUGUAGCGCGAUUCUAAGGAGGACCACCGUCGGUUUGGUCCCUGCCGGCGAGACUCCGGCGAUGCCAUAACGUGGCUAUCAUUAGGGACUAAUCUAACAUAAUUAGUUCUCUAACAAACGCUGAUAGUGGGCCCUAGUUGUAGUCAAAGCUGAGGUCAACUCAAAAAUUAAUCCCGAGUCAAUGAGAGGGGGUCCCACCUGCCAGUGACUCUAACCAGCCAUGGGUCACUGACAUGGGGACCCCAUAUGUCAGAUUUGACCUCGCAACGGUUAGGUGACCUGCUGAGGUCAGGCUGACACAUAUAAUCUAAUUUCCUAUUUAGAAAUAAUUCUCAAAAUUCUAAAAAAUGUUUAAAACUUUGAAAAUUCAUAGAAAAAAUUCUCUAACUCAGAUUGAAAUAAAUUAUAUAUGAAAAAUGACUAGAAAACUCCGAGGAAUUCAUUGGUGCUAUUAUAAUGCAUCUUAGAACAAGUUAUACAUGCUGAUCAGGUCAAAUCAAUUAAAGGGCAUUCGAAAAUACCUUAUACGAAGUGGAAUUUGAAUCUUUGAUUCAAACCAAUUUCAACCAAUCUGGUUAUAGGUGCAUUACUCAUCCAACAUAUUUAUGUGAUGUCAUGAUCAUGCAUCAUACUGCUGCACUUGUUGUGCAUUGAUUGUUAUAUUGUUUGUAUUGCGGUAGGCUCUGCUCCGCAUGAUACUUACGAGUAUCAAAACGAAGAAGAGCUUCCAACUGUUGAUCAUCAAGGCAACCACCCCUUUUGAAUGUUCCAAUACAGUCCCAUGUUCCAGUUCCUGCUCUUAUUUGUUGCAUUAGGACACAACAUUUCAAAUGCUACUUGUUUCGGUAGUGGAAUCCACUCCUCUGCAUUACCUGUCAUUGUCAUCGUAAAUAGCUAAACCAAGCAACCUAGCAUACCUCAUAGAUGCUUAAGCCAUGAUGUGACUUACUUUGCUAUGCAUGCUAUGCUUAGAGUUGUCUCAGGGUUGAUUUAUCUAGAUGAUGAACUAGAGUGAAUGAAUGUGUUCUAGUGACAUAAGUUAAACGUUGAACCUGAUUUGGUAAAGAUUGAUGAGAUGCUAUGUAGGAGUACAUGGCGGGUUGUCUCAAUGGAACCGCUCUUAGGAACUGAGUUCCGUGUAUGUUAUCCAAGAAUAGCUACUACCACACAUAGGGAUCCGGGCGCUCCAAUCCCACACGGCUUAUAAAUCACCUAGUACUCUGUCCAGGAGUUGCAAGUAGUGUGUGGUGCUUGUAGCUUAUGCUAGGGGUCGUGCAUAGCGCUGACCUUAGGGAUGGGCUAUGACAUGGUAGGCAAUCGCACGGUGUACCAAGUGGCACCCAGACAGUGGGCUUGGGAACCCUGCACACAUUGUUUGAGGCCAUAGCGGAAAAUUCGGCCGGACUUCAGUAUCUGAUCGGUUUAGACCAUCCUAAGGAGACCAUGUCCAUGAAACCCGGGUGUGCAAUACAGAAAGUUUCAAACCGAAAACUUCUAUUUUUAGGAAUGUUUGUCUGUAUUACAACGGAGCAAGGGAUAUGAUCCGAGACAGGCCUUGCUAGAGGGUGCACCAGAGUGUUGGGGAAUGACAGGGACCAGUUCAAAGAGGUGAAAAACCAGUCCAAUUGUUCUAAGAGCGGGUCUUUUUGCAUAUUAGACCAGGUGUAGGUUCUACCUUUGAUUGGAAGUUCCGCAAGCG